UCAACGUAGGUCCGGCCCCGCCCCCGACGUGGCGUCUUCAUCUUGGUGUUUAGACUCUUCCGUAACUUGAAGAGCCGUCCACUUCCCGUGGUAAAUUUCAACGAGAAAUAGGUGAUAGGCAAGGAUCAGAAGGAACUUUGUCCAAGAACCUAGAUAUACAUGUAUAAACACAUAUAAUUCCAAGUUGAUUGAAGAGUGAAGGGAUCUUGAAAUUUUUAUUUUUUUUUUAUAAGUGAAUGGCAACCGCCAAUCGAAAAUACACAGCAUCGAGUAAAUCUCGUUCCGUACAAUAACUCGUCAAUCAUACGACGAAGAGGUCAGACGUACGAAACAAAUCUCGUGCGACGAGCGAAUGUCUCAACAGAGGUCAGUGUGUGAGUGAGCUGAUCUCGAUUUGUUAAUUAGAGAACUCUGGUCUAUACGACGGCUCCGAUCAUGGAUAAGGACCCCUUUGGAGAGCUAGAAGAUGACCGCUGCUGUAUUAUAAUUGAGUAUAGACUGGGCCAUUAGUGAAUUGGCCAGUCCCAUCGUAAACAUUAUUAUUAUUAUCGACCAUCCUAUAGGGCGCUAGUAGUAUGUAUGCAUGCCAUCCAUCCUCCAAGUGCCAGCAUAUUAUUUACAAGAGAAACGAAGAAACUUCCUUUUUUUCCUCAGAGCAAGAUGAUAAAACACAUAUUUAGUAGGUAUCCUCCGAAAAGAAACUUGACUUUGUGACGCAAUAGAUGAAUAAAUUUGGCGUGAGCAUAAAAGCAAGAAGACAGUCGUGACGGUGGAGAAAAGCCUGCGCACAUUUACAAUGUGGCAACGCAAUGCAAUAAUAGAACUAUGGAACUGAGUGUAGAAAAAGAUGUGAACUACUCUGUUAUUAUAAUAAUAGCCCACAUACAUAGGGAGAGAAUAUUAAAGGGGGGCGGGCAGUCACUCAAGCUAUAUGUGAAGGAUGGAAUUAUUAUUAAACUAGGAAAAAGCAGAAGGUUCGCAGUUAAUUAUUCAACUUUAGACGUGUGUUUCUUGCAAAAUCGUACGUAAUACUUUUACUUUUUGAUUGUUGUCCUGUCAAUUAGAAGGAAGCUUAAAAUUUCCAUUCAUCCGCCUUUUUUUUUUUAUUUUUUAUUUUACGACGACUUUUCUAGUUAAACUAGAAGUAUAGAAGGAUAUAUAGUAUAUACUUUACUUGAGGAAGUAAAAUGGACUGCCAAUUUUGACUUGGUUGGAAUUACCGUACAGUCACCGGGUUCAAAACUUCUGGUAGCUUUUCGUGUACAUGAACAUUUAUUGUUCCUAAUAUGAUGAAUACAUCAAUUCUCAUCACACCACUAUUCCUACUAGCAUAAUUUUGUGGAAACAUUUAUUAUUAUUAUUAUUGUAUCACGAAGUCCAAUUCCUACAAUUUUUGGCUCAUAGGUUAGUGAGAUUGAGUUGGACACUUUGACUAUUCAUGUUACUAAAUAGUACUAGUAAUAAACGCUAUCCGUUUCUUUCCAUGAGCUGUUUUGCAAUAUUUCGGGGCUUUAAAUAAAGUAAGGGUUUUUUUUCCCUCCUUUUUCUGGGCAAAAAAUUUGGUCUUGUAUUUGCUUACUGUAUGCUCCCUCCCUUUUUUUAUAACUGACGUUUAAAAAAUUUACGCUAGUGUACUUUUAUCUAUCGUUUUAUUAUCCCCAUACAGUAUUAAUUAUUUUUUCACAAUUUUACCCUUUUAUCUCUCUUUUCCAAUACAGGGUUCUUAAUUACUACUCCUAAUAAUUAUUACUUCUCUCUUUGUAACAACCCUAGUAAUUAUCUACCCCUUCGUAUUCUAGUGAGAGAAAACAUGGGUGAAUUGGACAAUUAAUGAGGGUACAAAAGGAAAGUAGUGUACAGAUUUAAGCAAUGAAAAACUUUUAUUAAUUGGUGUGCAAAACCUUAAACGUCAGUUAUAAAAGAAGGGAGGGAAUACUUUGGUAAAAAUUAAUUAUGGAAAGUGAUGAUAGAAAAGCUCACAAGAAUAAUCUAAAGGCGACACUCUUUCUUUUUGCUAGAUUUUGAAUUUUAAAAUUUUGGAUUUUUUAUUAAAAAAAAUAAGGCCUUGUUUGGAUUGUAUUUUCUUGGAGUUUUUGUAAAAAAAAUUAUUGUAGCGAUUUGAUGUAUGUGAGAAAAAAAAGAUAAUAAAAAAAUAUGAUCACGAAAAACGACGCAAGUUUUGGACGAACGGAAAAAUGGCUGUCCAAACACGGGGUCAGAGAAAGCAGUGGGAUGUAUAAGAAAAAACGUGAUUGAUAGAAUCUAUAAAUCGGUUGAAAUGGUGCAACAAAAUCAAGCAUGAUUUUUUCUCUCUAAUGGUGCGUCAUUGGGUAACAUAACAACAAAGGGUAUUAAGAGGAAGAAUUCUGGUUGAUGAGGUGGAAUGCACCUCAAAACGUGCGGCAUAUUUUAGGGAACCGGAGUGCAAUUUGAUGUAGCAAUUCAAAACCAAGAAAGAUAGCCAAAACCAACACAGCAAAAGCUGUUGUAGAUUGCGUAUCUGAUCAUAGAUGCACUUUGCAAUUCUGGCAAUUCAUCCACCAAAACAGCACUUGGAUUCAUUUAUGGUCCAUUUUCUUCAAAUUUUUUGCUUGGAUUUUGGUUUGGCUGUCACCUGGCUGCACUGAAAGAGGAGGCGUUGGGUUGGGUAGUGUGUGCAACAGAAAUUGGAGCCGUAGCAGACACGAAUUUGAAACAAAAGUGCAAAAGGAGGAGCCAACUCCAAACCCUUUACUUAACCUCUUUGCUCUCUGUCUCGAAGCGAUCUCCUCCUUUUUUUUUUUAAAUAAAUCUCUUUUACGCUUUGUUUUCAAACCAGAAAGUCCAAAACUACAGUGCUGUGGUGUGCCUUCUUGGUUGACUUUUUCUUUCGAGCCAAGCCAAGUCUCGUUCCAUAAUUUAUCAACCACAACAAGUAACAACCCAACACAUGUCUUUCAAGUUUUGAACACACUCCCGAAAAGAAAAAGAAAAAAGAACCAGAAUUUGGUCAUUUUGGAAUCUUUAAUGCUAUACCUCAAUGAAAAGAAAGAAGAACUGUCAAAUUUUUUGGCAGUAGUACUUAAUUUGGGCUUCAGAUGGGUAAAAUUUCAAGAUGAUCAGGAGAUGCAAUAUUUAUUAUUUUUCCUUUUUUUUUUGGUUGGUCAAAUAGUGAUUAGUCCAAUAGAGAGAUCGAGUAUAUGACGAAGAAGUUCGGGAAACUCAACAUUGAAAGUUGAUUUGGAUUUGAUGACUUUUAUGCACGAGGGAGGGAUCGGAAUGCUGCCCCAACUUUCAAAUGGAAAUCAGAUGAUUCACCAACUCGUGAGUCAUGAGCUGCUGCGUAAAUGGUCUGUUUCUAAAAAAUUCACAUGGGUGUACUGUGUACCUGUCUGAUCCGGUGAUAGUUCAAUCUCCUUCGAAUUACUUCUGGACCCCCUUAGAUCCACCCUCUUCUCCUUAGUGUAGAAUAGAAUAGAUUUAUUGUUUCCAGAAAAAAAAAAAAAAAAAAAGGAAGCCACAGAAGAAAAGUGACAAAAGCAAGGACAAAUUUUCUGAAAUUUUUAGCCACUACUACCGUUUCUAGGAGCUCGUGUAUAAAAUAUUGAAGAACAAAAGUGAAAAACUAGCCAUGCGCACACCUUCUUAGUUCUCGGUCAUCCUAAAAUUUUUGUGCCUAUUAUUAAUACCUUUUUUGAAGUUGAUAUGGGACUAAUAACUGAAGCCAACGCAAAUCUAUGCUAGUGUUUCAAACAAAACUCGAGAAAGUAUCCAUCACUUUUUAGUAAAUCUUACACUUUAUAAAAGAUUAAUUUUUAAAAUAAUUGUCACUCAUCCGUCAAUAAAUCGUGAAUUAUUGAAAGCGAAAAACCAAGUUCAUCCAUCAAUACCUGUGAAUUAUUAAAAGCGAAAACAAGUAGUGCAAGUGGAGAACCGUAAUUUCUAACUAGAAUCCGGCCAAGCAUCCGCCAGUUUUUAUUUGUCAAUUUUCAAUAGUGACCCUAAAACAAUACUCACAAUAAUUAUUCGACCAACUGGAAGAAAUUUGAAGCUGAUUAACACUUCUAGUUAGUAGUAUCAAGCGUACGUCCCCUGUAGCUUCCUUUCACAAAAGCUAAAACGAUGUUACGCUUCUCCAUUUUCCGCACCUAUGUGUAAAGCAUCAGAAACUAUGGAAUUUCAUUUUCUUUUCGUUUCCUCAAUCGCAGCCAUAAAACUAGUACAAGACGACAGGUCUUCCUUCAUUCUACACCUCAAAUUAAAAAUGUAACGAACAAAACCACCCCAAAGGAUCCUUUCUCCUUAUCCUGAUAUGGGAUAUAUUUUUAGUCUUUUCAAAGGCAAGAGUCAAAAAGAUUGUCCAAAAUGACUCACAAUUGAGUAGCAUCUUAUCAAAAACUCCGAGUCACAUAAUCAAAUGUGCUUGCUUGAAUUAGCGUGAAUUUCUAAGCAGAAAAGAUAGAUCCCCAACCGACCUCCCCACCCAAUCCCCCAACAAUGUGUCCCACUUCCCUCCAAUCUUUAGCUCUUUACUUGUAUAAAUAGCCAUUAGCAGGCCUCCAAAGCUCUCAUGCUUAAAAAUCAAAUUCUAUUUCAAAGCCAAAUUCGUACUUGCAGGCUGCCUGCCACCCUUGGCUCCAUAAAAGCCAAAACCAUCCUCCACAGAAUACUAUCAUCAAUAUAGAAUAAACACCUCAUUCUCAAAAGAAGCACCGGAGAAAGAUUAGGAAAGGAAAAGGAGGCGGGACAUAGGCUGCUUGUUAUUUCCCUCUAUUUUAUCAGCUUCUUUUGUUGUUCUUUUGUAUUUUAGUACAGACAAAAGGCAAAAUUUUAAGAACGUAAAAAGCGAAGAACUCAAGGACAAAAAGGACCCCAUUUGGCUUUGAGAUUUGAGGCUCUGAAAAAAGAGAAUAGGAGAAUUCCGGGGCUCAAUUAGGAAAAUGUUGAGAACCAACAUUUUGUUGUUGAUCAUAGUUCUGGUAUCAUUUCUUAGUUGUACAGUUAGAGCCAAAGUCUCUUAUGAUGGCAGGUCAUUCAUCAUUAAUGGUCAGAGAAAAAUUCUUAUUUCUGGCUCCAUUCAUUAUCCCAGAAGCACUCCUGAGGUAACAAUCGCCAAUAUGAAUAUCCCCUGUUUUUUUCUUUUCGAGUAUGCAUGCUUUAGUGAUGAAUUUCUUUCUGAUGAGUCUUUUUUCUUUUUUCAACUUAUUUACUUGGGGUGGGAUGCAGAUGUGGCCUGAUCUUAUACAGAAGGCUAAAGACGGAGGCUUGGAUGUGAUACAAACAUAUGUAUUUUGGAAUGUGCACGAGCCUUCUCCUGGAAGGGUAUUCUUGAAUUUCCAAUCCACUUUUUUCUUGAACAAUGAUCAAUUCUAUCUGAAAACUAAAGGUUCCUUCCUGUAAUCUAUAUUUAUCUCGAAUUUGUAUUUCUGCAGUAUAAUUUUGAGGGCAGGGGCGAUAUCGUCAGAUUCCUCAAGCUAGUAAAAGCUGCUGGUCUUUACGCCCAUCUUCGCAUUGGCCCCUACAUUUGUGCAGAAUGGAACUUUGGGUAAUGCAGAUAAAUAACUAUCUACUACAUUCAUACGUUCACAUGUAUCUUAAAUUUCUUUUAUUAAUGUUGAAAUGGGAAGUAACACUGUACUAGUAAUAGAAAUGUAUGGGUAUUGGUUUUGGUAUUGAAUUCCUCUGUUUCUUCUGUGUUUUAAUGAUGCAGGGGUUUCCCGGUCUGGCUAAAAUACGUGCCCGGCAUGGAAUUUAGGACAGACAACGGGCCUUUUAAGGUACUAACUCAACUACAGAAGGGCCCCUUUUUAAAUCCACCAAUGGCUGUGUUUUAUGGUUCGGUUUUAGUUUGACUUCUGAAAUUUACUUUUUGACCAUGACGAAGGCGGCAAUGCAAGGAUUUGUUACGAAAAUUGUCAACUUGAUGAAGUCAGAAAAUUUGUUCGAGCCUCAGGGAGGACCAAUUAUUAUGUCCCAGGUUGGAAAAUAAAUACUUGUGAUCUUUUUUUUUUUUUUUUUGUCUGUUUCCGUGUUUCUAGAUGGGUAUGGGUUCUGUUUCAUUCGUGGUUUUUCGUUUAUUACAAGGUCUGUUGCAACCAAUUCUUAGGAUUUAUUUGGGAUAUUUGCAUGUUUCCAGAUAGAGAACGAGUAUGGCCCAGUUGAGUGGGAGAUCGGAGCUCCAGGUAAAGCAUAUACCAAAUGGGCGGCACAAAUGGCUGUUGCUCAAAACACUGGUGUUCCAUGGGUCAUGUGCAAGCAAGAUGAUGCCCCUGAUCCUGUUGUAAGCAAUUCUUUCUACCACCUCUUUUUUUGCCCUUUUUUUUCCGAGUUUAUUAGGGUGAUAUAGGGCCCAAAUGGUUCCUAAAGCUUUUGGUUUUGUUUAUUUUGUCCCUGGAAAGAUUAUCUUCAAUCAGUAGAGUUUGGAUGUUUGGUUAUAUGCUUGAUAUUUGACCCAUUAGGUUUGGCUGAACAGAUUUGGCUGAUCUUACCGAGGGAAGUAAAUUAAUGCCCACAAAUAUGUCGGACAAAUCUAUUAAUCUGAAAAUGAAUUUUGUAUUCGGCUGCUGAAUUCGAUGUCUUUUCUGUUCCAGCUCUUCUCUUGAAGGUGAAUCUGCAAAAGCGUUCCAUUUUCUGUUCUCAAGCUUCUCAUACUCUUUUUAUUAUAUUGCAGAUAGACGCUUGCAAUGGUUUCUACUGUGAAGGUUUUGUUCCAAACAAGCCUUACAAACCAAAAAUGUUUACUGAAAUCUGGACUGGCUGGUGAGUCACUCGAAAAAAAAAAAAAAAAAAAUUCCCUUUUUAUCCAUUCCUGCUGUUCUCUAGGUUUUCGUGCUAAUUAGAAGUUAAGAAACCUUCUGAUGUCCCUCCUACUAUAUCCCAGGUAUACACAAUAUGGAGGACCAAAUCCCCAUCGACCAGCAGAGGACUUGGCAUAUGCAGUUGCAAGGUUUAUCCAAAACAAUGGUUCAUUUUUCAACUACUAUAUGGUUAGUCAAAUCUUAAAUGCAUAUUGGGAAACAAAUUCUAGCCCACUGCCUUUAUAUGAUUUAGGUAAUUAGCUUACUAUGUUUUGAAAUGUCUGUGUAUUUUGUGUUUUUGCAUUGGUGGCCGCAGUAUCACGGAGGAACAAAUUUUGGCCGGACUGCUUCUGGUCUUUUUGUUGCCACUAGCUAUGACUAUGAUGCUCCAAUUGAUGAAUAUGGUACGUUUCAGUAUCAUACCAAUUUUAAAUCUUCGAUAUUUUGUAAACUGCACAUAAAAUGGCAUAUGAUGAUCAAAAAGGAUGAAUGACUGUUUCGUGCAACAUCGGAUGUCCCUCACAGCAAAAGUGCAGCUCUCAAUAUGACUGCCUGUCUCUUCAGAACUUGAAUACAACUUUUCAUAUAUGUUGUGGUUAAUUUACUAGGGCUACUGAAUGAACCAAAAUGGGGGCACCUGAGAGAUCUGCAUAAGGCUAUCAAACAAUGCGAACCAGCUAUGGUUUCAACGUAUCCCACAGUUAUCUGGCUCGGGAAGAAUCAAGAGGUAAAUUGAUUCCAGUUGGUUGACAACAUCAGCAAUUUUAUUGGUGUUAUCACCUCUUACUUUCUGAAUCUAACUAUGCUUCCAUAAACUUGUUUAGGCUCAUGUGUUUAAAUCAAGAUCUGGAGCUUGUGCUGCUUUCCUUUCUAACUAUGACCCAACAUACUCGGUGAGAGUGAGCUUCCAAAAUCUUCCAUAUGACCUGCCACCCUGGUCUGUCAGUAUUCUUCCAGACUGCAAGACCGUAGUCUACAAUACUGCAAAGGUAAGGAAAUAGCUCUCUAAGGUGACCAGCGAUUGUUUUCUUCCAUUAGUCAUGAAGGAGAUUUGACAUACAUGUAAAUAUUCCUAUCUGGUCGUUCUAAUGUUUAUUCUCCCCGUUUUCUGACCAAAAUUUAAUCUUUUUCUAUGCAUUCAAAUUUCGUAGCUUUAGGCAACAAUUAAACCUAAGCAACACCAGUGUAUGGUCUUUUGCAGGUUAAUUCCCCAAGCUCAGAGCCAUUGAUGACACCUGUAGGUGGUAAAUUAUCAUGGCAGUCGUACACUGAUGAAACACCCUCUGCAGACGACAGUGAUGUGCUUGUAAUGAAUGGAUUGUGGGAGCAAUUGAACGUGACAAGAGAUUCCUCGGACUAUUUGUGGUACCUGACAGAGUGAGUGUAUAUUAUCUAAUAAGUUCUUUAAAGCAUUUUGUAAAUCCUGUAUCUAGAUCUCAGUAUCACUUUCAGUCUUCCUUUUAACCCGUCCCUGCUUGCCUCUUUUGAUUCUCCAGCGUGAAUAUUGCAUCCAAUGAAGGAUUCCUGAAGAGUGGACAGGACCCCCUUUUCACUGUUAUGUCAGCUGGCCAUGCCUUGCAUGUUUUCAUUAAUGGUCAACUUUCAGGUAGUUAGAUUUCCAUAGUGUUUGCAAAUUACCAAGUUCUGCCUUGACAUUCUGUACAUUUCUACUCACUUUUCGUCAUGUUCUUAUGCUAAUACUUAACGGGUCUGUUUUUAGGGACGGUGUAUGGUUCAUUGGACAAUCCAAAACUCACAUACAGUAGCAAUGUAAAACUUAGAGCUGGUGUCAACAAGAUUUCUUUACUUAGUGUUGCAGUGGGAUUAGCGGUUAGUUUGCAGUUGAUAAUGUCCACACGCUUCCUAAAUAUUAUCACUAAUUGCAUUUGGUUAAGCUUUCUUCAAGCGUACUAAUUGCAUUUUUCAUCGUAUUUCAGAAUGUUGGGGUGCAUUUUGAAACCUGGAAUACAGGUGUUCUGGGUCCAAUAACCUUGAAGGGUCUAAAUGAGGGCACAAGAGACCUGACAAAGCAGAGAUGGACAUACAAGGUUCAUUAGUAUUUGCCUUUGUUUUUACUCCAUAUUGUGAGUUACCAAAAGAGGAAGAAAAAUUCUAGAACUUCAGUUGCAUGAUUAGCUCCCAUAUCGACAAGUAACAAAAGCCUUGGAAGAAAAAGAAGAAACAAAAGCAGUUUUUCGUUAUCACUUCCGGCAUCAUAGCAAUACCAAACUGUUAAUUAACAAAGUGAAUUAAUAAGUUGAAAGUUCAUUGAUUUGGUCGUGUUUGCAAUAGCAAGUCUUUCAAAUGGCUAUUUCUUUCAAGAGAUUGCCAGAAUGCACGCUCAUGGAGUAACACUUAUUUGGCUGUUCAUUAUCAGGUUGGUUUGAAAGGUGAAGCUCAAAGUCUCCAUACUGUCACGGGAAGUGCCUCUGUCGAAUGGGCAGAAGGAUCAUUGUUGGCUAACAAGCAGCCUCUGACAUGGUACAAGGUAAUUGUGUUUACUCUUAUUUUUUGGUGGUUUGACUGGCACAAGUUAAAUGUGUUCUGAUGAUGCUCUAAUCACUUCCUCAAAAUUAUAAUUGAGACAUUUCCUGCUAAAAUUUCGUUUAUUAAUUCAAACAAUGUACACUUCCAUUCAGACUACUUUCGACGCACCCCCGGGAAACGAUCCAAUAGCUUUAGAUAUGGGCAGUAUGGGGAAAGGAGAAGUGUGGGUAAAUGGUCAAAGCAUUGGAAGGCACUGGCCGGCAUAUAUUGCAAAUGGCAACUGUGGUGGCUGUAAUUAUGCCGGGACUUUCUCAGAGAAGAAAUGCCAGAUGUACUGUGGAAAACCUUCUCAGAGAUGGUAAUUAAUAAUUUCAGCAAUUAGAUUAUAGAUUGUGUAAGCAAUGCGAUAACUUCUGAUGACACUCUAAAUUUUAGGUACCAUAUUCCUCGUUCUUGGCUGCAGCCAAGUGGAAAUCUUUUGGUUGUGUUCGAAGAAUGGGGUGGUGAUUCAACUUGGUUGUAUUUGGUUAAAAGGACAAGAUGACUUGGUAUCCAAUCCAAUGCUGGGAUAUACGAAGGCUCCAAUUUGGUGUCACGAAUGAAGAACUGUAUAGGCAUCAUUCACUGUGAAUAAUUCACACUCUCGACCCGACUGCAAAUAAGCAUGAUGUAUGUAAACGGCAUACACUCUGCAAAGGAUAGCUAGCUCUCUUCAGAUAUUUUAUACAACGGGGAAUAGUACAUCUCCUGUGUACACAUCUUUUUAAAGUUUUAGAAUUAUGAGAAGUCCCGUAUAUGUAUCUCAUUAGCAUGUCUGUCCGAUUGGAGGCAACUCCAAAUAAGCCUGAUGUAUGCAGGAGACAUGCACUGAAAAUUAAAGCAUAGCCCCCUAUAUCUGGUUUUCUGAUAAAACUGCAUCUCCUCCAUGGUCCAUGCAUAUCUUCUUUAAGCCUUUUUGUUUUGAGCAAUCCUGUGUGCUUAUCUCAGUAGCAAAGCCUGAUUGGCCUGUCACUGUAAAAUGUACUGAUCUGACAGCAGCCUUCUUGCAAUGGUUAUGCAGUUGCUAAUCAACACCAGCUUGUAAACUUGUUACUAAGCCGGAAUCCUUCAGAGAGAUUGAGCAAAAAUAAUUGGCAAUGUGUUUUGUGGGACCAUAAGCUUUUUAACAAAUAUUAGAUCCAAAGUUUCAAUGUAGAUAAAUAUUUUCAAAGAAAAAGCAAAAAUAAUUUAUCACGGUAAUUUGUCAAAAUAUUUUAGCAAAAAUUAUAUUAAUCGUCACUCACAUAUUAUUGAUAUGAAAUUUUAAUCAUUCAAAAUUAUAAUUUUAGUUGGAUGAUGCCGGAUCCUAUCAUCUUCACUGUUGAGUUUUGCAAACGUUCAAACCUAACUUGUCCAAAGGUUAUUUCGACAAAAUUUACGACUUUAUUUUGGCAUUGAUCAAGUUUCCAAAUCAUUUCAAACAUGUUCCAAACUUCAAAUCAAAUAAAAAUCAUCACCUAAACACAAACCAAAGAAUCAAACAAGAAAUCCAAAUUUUCCACUCUAUUUUCUCCACAAGACUCAAACAGAGUUGCAAUCAAAUUACAUCCAAUGAUUUAAAAGAUCCUUAAGAUCAAAAUCCAUGAUAAAUCUGAACCCAAUAAUCCUCAAUCGAUGGACUAAAUUUCUAGCAAAAAUUCCAGCAAGAAGUUGACCAACGACCAAAAGCGAGCCUCUUCUGUUUAUUAGGAACCAAAAUCGAUCAUUUUGAUUCUAAGGAACUAAAAUAUCACAUCAAUAAAAUAUGUGAGAAAUGAUUGGUGCAAUUUUUUCAAUACUUUAGUACCAAAACAUAUCACUUUUUUGGGCUAAUAUAAUCACACCCAAAAUAUUUCUUUUUUGGAAUAAAAUAAUCACAUGCAAAGUACAUAAGAUAUUACUAGUAGAUUUUAAAAAGCUCGGAGAACAAAUUCAGGAUAUAUUCGUGCAAAAAAGCAUCAAGGUAAAAAAUACGGGAAACAAUUUGCUCCCAAAAGGUUGCGUACUACAUUUGCUGCAACAGCAUUUACUUUUACUGCACUUGUACAAAGUUAAACAUUAUUAUCCAAUCAGGCCAAUGAUUCUUUUCUAAUUUGCAGGAGGAAAUUUUCUUCUUUACACAAUCUCCUCACAAGAAAGCUGAUGCACCUUUCAAGGCGUCGAUGACAUCCUCCAGGUCCUUGUAGUCUUGGGGAUCUUGUCCUUGACGUUCCCACCGUACUAAGCUAUGGACGAGGUCCCUAUACAUUAUAAGUUUUGCUGCUUCAUCAGCUUUAAAAUGGAGAAGCCUCUUGACGCACUUGAGGAGAUAAUUUCCAACCUUCAGUUUCAUGCCAUGAAGAAACUUUAACCCCCUCUCCUCAUUUUCAAAUAAAGAAGCUGUCAUCUUCUCAGUUACAUCAGUUAGAUCAAAGACAACAGAGGCUCCAGCUACAGCCUCUUCUGCCGUACAUGUUUGACUCCACGUAGUCGACUCUUCCUGCCAUUCACAGAUCCUUCCGUUUUGCUUCAGUCCAUGAAUUUGUGUUUCUGUCCAUUUUAAGAUAGUACCAGUUGCAGCAUAAUGCAAAAAUAAUUCACAUCCUACCUCAUCUACAGAAUCAAGGAAUCCAAUCAAAAUGCCUAAUGGGAUCAUCCUAAUUAAUCUACUUUGCUGGCUGCAAUCUCCUUGUGAUAUUUGUGCUGCUACAGAUGCAAAACCAGUAACUUGUCUGCAAUAUCUAACGCACACGUCAUGAAAUUCCUUCAACCAGAUCCAAUUUGAAUGGUUGUCAUAUUUGAGGAUUCUGUUUUCAAGACACACCAAUUCAAUUUCACUUUCUUCCUUGCAGCCCCGUGAUGCCUGGUAGCAUUUACCUGAGCUAAAGCGCUUUGAAGUCCAUAAUCCUGAUAGUUUGGUCAAAUAAUCAACUAGCAAGUCUUGAUUAGAUUCGGUAACAGGGUCCAAUAUCCAUGCAAUAUACCUCGCUGCAGCAGCGCAAUAAGGCACUUCCUCAUCAUAUGAUUUAUCAGUGGAGUGUAUCAUGUACUUUAAAUGGGCAAUGCCCUGAAAGUCUGGAGCAGAGAAGAGUAGUAGACAGGCAAACAAGAACCAAUCAGGGAAGUUUAUAGCAGUAGCCCUGUUGUGGAGGAGAAUAAACAUAAGUUUCUUUGUAUAAAAAAACUGGGGAAUCAAAAGACGUGGGUCUGCCAUAUAGCAAAACCAUACCAUAGAGAUUUAUGAUCCACCAGUUCCAUCUUCAACACCCCUUGCUCAGAACUUCCGUUAUAGUCUUUUCCCCCCUGAGAAACCAAUCUGCUUAUCUUCUGAACUAGCUGCUGAAAAUUUUCCCACGACAGAGGUCCAGCCAAAAUUCUUAUAGUUUUUUGCUUGUACGGGAAAUAUGCAUCACAAAAUGGCAUUUUGGACCCAGUCUCCAUUGAUAAGCCCCACGACAUUGGUCUGGAGACUAUGUCUAGAACCAGUGAAACCAACUGAAUCUGAAGCCUCAACACAGAAGCCAAACCCCUGUCAUUGAAUCCUACCAAGUGAGGGAGCAGAGACAUCAAUUCAUGUGAAAAUAAAGAAGCUUAUUCUUUUCUGACCAAGCAUAAACAAGUUGCUGCAAAUAGCAAUAGUUCAAAAUUCUAGCACGUGAAGAUCAAAAAUAACAAAAAGCCAUCAUGACAGACACCAGAAAGCGUAAAACCCCAAGCAAAGGGGGUGAACCCAGAGUCUGCUAAACUUCAAUAUCAAGUAGUCAAAACAUCAGACCUAUUGUAGACAACAGAGUUCAUGAAAUUUGUGACUAGGAACUCACGUUAGUAGAUACCAAUUAUGCAAUAGGGCCCUAGCCUCAAUGAAAAGAGAUGGAGCAAGCGUCAAGGAUAUCAGUAUAGAAUGCCAUUCUGUCAUCUCACUGAAGGCCAUACUCAGGCAAAGAAAAGGUCUUUUAUUGACCUCUUGCAAGAUUUGCGACAUAUUAUGUUUUAGAAGGGCAGGAUCAAGAUACCAACACAGCAACCUGCAAAGGUAUUGGUUAAUGCAAGAUAUGAAACAAUCUGCGCAUGACAUAUUGAGAUGAGCAAACUGUUCAAGAAAUUACAAACCAUAGAGGUCCUCUAAGCUCAUUGGGGAAUCAACCAAGAUAACAUGAUGAUUUCAGAUGUCCAGCCAUCUUCUUAAUUCAAGCAUUUACAUUUCACAGUCCACAUUUUCACAUCUACACCACUUCACCACGUAAAAAGAUAUAAAAAGUUUUGGACACUAUUUACAAAUGAACAAAGAGAGAAGAUGCUACUUAUAAUAUCAUAUGAGAAAGAAGAUCAUGUAAGUAAACAUAUCUCGCAUGUCCAACAAUCAAAAUAACUAAAAGAAAUGGCAAUUGGUGAUCUACAAAAUAACUACAAAAAGUUCUGUCUUCAAAUCAGCAUUCGCAAGUACGUCAAUUAGAGAAGUAUUAAUCAGCAUUCUCAAGUAUGUGAUGGGGAUAAAAAUCAGCAUUCUCGAGUAUGUCAACUGGAUAAAAAUUAAUCACAAAAGAGAAGGAACAUAAAAUAUUCAGGACAUUGAAGUGAAUAGCACACUUUAAGGCAACACAUUGGCUGUAAAACAUAGAGACCCUCAGAUUGCUAUAUGGAAUUCCAAAGUCCAGACCACCCACCUUACUGGCAUAUCUCUGCUGAUACAACUUUCUUUUGGCACAUGGGCAAGUAGCUUUUGAAAAGAAAGUUUCCAUCCAUCAACUGUUUUAACAUCAAGAACAGCACUUGAUCCCAAAGUGUACUUAAAGCGUGAAGCCAGUACCACCAUGUGUAAUGCAGCAUGUACCAUUGAGAGAGAAAGAUCUCCUACAAGAUGAAAAGGACGAACAAUGUAGGCUAGUAUAUCAAUUUCAAACACUAAUAUUAGUUCAAUGGUUAAUGCCAAUUUCAGAUCAGCAUUAUAGAUUAAAGUAAGUUCUCACACCAUUACUCCCUCCGCCCAACCAUUUGAAGGUGUCCUACUUAACAUUUUUGCAAGUCCAAAAUGUACCCAUCGUAGCCAUUUCUAUCCUUGAAAUGCUAGUACACUUGGCAUCUUUUAUUAUUUACUAGUAGUAAUUUUUUUGCCAUAUCAUCCAAAACUAGCCAUCACAGCAUUUUUAAGUAGUGUUGAAAGCUACAAAAUUGAAAUACAACAAAAACGUGAUGCUAAUAUUCUUCAGAGAAUGCACCAAAACAAAAAGAAUAUAUCACAGAAAAGCAAAUUUAGAAUAGAAAGAACGUCCAAAAAUACCUCGAUGUCCUUCCAGUUUUUCCAAAACAUCAACACAUGCUUCUAUAAUUUCCGCGCAGUCUUGCCUACAAAUCGAUCCGCCAACUCGCAAGACCUCAUUUUUACCAAUUUUAAUAACCUUACAUUCGAUAGAAGACGACAGAACUGCGACGAUCGUCUUUACCGUGCAAUCAAACACCGAUUGGAAAACCUAACAAAUAAAAGAAAGUAUAUUUAAAAUAAAAAACUAAAAUACAAAAGGGAAAACGUUGAAAAAGUUGUUGAUUGAGUUUAGAGAGGACCUGCGGAGCAGUGAAGCACAUGAGAGAGAGCGCAGUGUCCAGAACUCUGGUGCUAGGUUGAGUUUCGCUCAGGUUGAGAGAGCGAUUCAGAUUGGAGAUCGUGAUGGCGAGAUCUUCAUCAUCUUCAUUUGUAGCCGUUGGAUCUAGGGCUCCUGCAUUCGAAGCAAGCGAGGAAAAAAGAGAUGUUAUUUCUGAAAAUUUCGUCAUAGCAUCAUCAUACGCUGACGGACUGAUGCUCAGAACUCAGAAGACGAAAGGUUUCCCGCCAAAAAGCGGGAAGGAGAUCUCGCGCAGAGGCUUUUAUGGGAUGGAUCGCUUCUAUUGGGCUUGGGCUUCAGGUUACCAUAUGGGCUUCUAAGAAUAAUAAAAUUAGUUGUUUGCAAAAUUUUCUCUCUCUGUCCCUCUUUUUUUUUAAAUUUUUAUUUCUUGUCCUUCCUAAUUGGUAGGUGUACAUAAUAACGUUUGCUUAGUGUAUGUUGUUUCAAUUUGAUAUUUGUUGCUAAGUAAGGAAUGGAUUAAAAGCAUUUGAUUUAUACUAUUAAUAAAGAAAUGGUUCGUCUAACAAGUGCGUUACUGUUAUAAAACUAAUAAAAUGAAAUACUACAAUAGGAAUUGAAGAAGGAGUAGAGAAAGGGAGAAUGAUAUUCUUAUAUUUCAACAAGAUACAAAAGUCCUCUCAAAGGGUUUCAAUGUACCUCUAUAUAUAGGCACUACAAAAUUAAAGGUACAUAAAUCCUAUUAAACAUCCACUACUACAAUAAUAUGAAGAAACUUAUUAAACGAUUUCUCCACUAUAUGAAUAGAUUUAUGAAUUGUAACUUCUAUACAUAAUGUAAUCAUAAAUCAUGAAUUAAUUCUCUUGGGAAUACAAAGGAACAUCCAUACUUUUAAUUGUUUGAUAACACUCCCCCUUGGAUGUCCAUUACACAAAGAAUAUGCCUCGUUAAAACCUUACUAGGGAAAAAUCCAGUGGGACCAAAAAUUCUAGUGAAGGAAAAAGAGUACACUAUUCUUGUGUAUUAAUUUCUCCCCCUGAUGCAAACAUCAUUUGAGAUCUUUUAAUCGUCGCAUUCCAAUAUUCUUUGCCAAUUGCACUGAGAUAUGGUACUUCAGGACCAAGUAUCUCUUCAUCUUCCUCUCACGAUCUAAAAGGAUCUUUAUUAGGAUCUAAUGAUCUGACGAUCAUUGGAAUGCUUAAUAUAUGUGUCUUAUCCAUAUAAAAUCGCUUUAAUAUCUUCCGGGUAUAUGCAGUUUGGUGGACAAAAAUUUUACAAUUCAAAUGCUCAAUUUGUAAACAAGGCAGAAUUUUGUCUUUCCAAAAUCUUUGAUCUCAGAUUCUUUUCUCAAAUAUUCAACAUUAUUUUGAAUCUCUUCAGGAGUUCCAAUCAAAUUUAGAUCAUCAACAUAUACAACAAUUAUCACAAAAUUUGAUCCAUUUUUCUUAAUAAAAACACAUGGACAUAUUGGAUCAUUGGUAUAACCUUCUUUUGUCAGACAUUCAUUGAGACGGUUAUACCACAUACGUCCAGAUUGUUUGAACCCAUACAGAGACCUUUGUAAUUUAAUAGAAUAAAUAUUUUUAAGAUUUCCAUAUAAAUAUGCAGUAACGACGUCCAUUAGACGCAUAUCUAAUUUCUCAUGUACUGCAAAACUUCACAAUAUAACUAAAUGUAAUAGCAUCCACUACAGGUGAAUACGUUUCAUUAUAAUCAAAUCCAAGCCUUUGUGAAAAUUCUUGGGUUACAAGUCUUGCUUUAUAUCUCACAAUUUCAUUUUUCUCAUUUCUUUUUCUCACAAAUACCCAUUUAUAUCAUACUGGCUUUACACCUUCAGGUGUUUGGACUACAGGUCCAAAAAACUUUUCUUGUAGCCAGUGAGUCCAAUUCAGAUUGGAUCGCAUCUUUCCACUUUGGCCAAUCAUUUAUACACCGACAUUCAUCAACCGAUCUAGAUUCAUGAUUCUCAUCAACUUCUAUAAUAUCAAGUGCUACAUUUUAUUAGGCUCCAAUUAAAUUUUUUUUAUGAUUUCAUUCUCUUCAGAAAUUGGCUCUUCAGGAGCAACCUCUUCAAGAGGUUGAAUUUUGUCAUGACAUUUAAUUUCCGGAAAUAUUUGAAAUCAAUUUAUACCUUAUUUAGGUAGGCCGGCCUUAAAUUUAUUUGUAGCACUUGUGCAUGUCCUUCAGGGACAUCAAUUUUAAUCAAGGUAUUUCCUGCAGGAAUAGUUGAUUCAAUAACUCUUCUAGAGUCGAUAUAUAUAUAUCUGACAACUGGUUUGCAAUUUUCUGCAAAUGAAUAAUUUCUUGAACUUUCAGUUCACAUUAUUUUGUAUGAGAAUCGAGGAAAUCCAAUUUUUCAGGUGAUUUCCUUUCGAUUGAUUUCUUCCUCCCCUUAAUGUCGGGAAUCGUAAUUCAUCAGAAUAAAUAAAUCAUUUAAUAGAUCAUUCAUCAAAUAUUUUACGAUAUUUAAUCGUAAAAAGUGAUUCAUACCCGACAUAAAUUCUAAAUUUCUUUUGGAGCCAUAUAUAAUAUAAAGGGGGUAUGUAUAAAUACUUGUCGGCUUUCAAAUAUUCUCACUUUUAUCAAAUCACAUAUCCAUUGGGAUCAGUAAACUUCUGGUUUGCUGCAAUUGAUGAUUAUAAAUCAAAAUGAGAAUGAAGACAACUAUAUCGAUAACCAUUUCUCUCUCGAAUGGUUACUAUAAUAUAAUUAACCUUUAUCUCACUUGAUUUCUAUAUAUGAUCUUUAUUAUUGUCUCAUUUAAUGUCUCAAUUUGAUAUCCAUUUCAACGGAUAUUCAAAUUCAAUAAAUUUUUCGAAACAUGGUAAAAAGUAGUACUUUAUUCAUGAUAAACUUUUCUCCUACGGAGAGAAAUAUAGUAGUGGCUCUUCUGGAGUUUUCAAUCACUUAAGCAUUAACACUAAUUGUGUUUGUCUCUUUUGUUGAAAAAUAGUGUAUAUAGUAACACUUAUUAAUGAGACACAUAUCAUUAUCACCAUAAUUCUUAUGGGACAAAUAUCAUCACUAUAAUCCUUUGAUCCCAAAUGUUAAACAUCUAUUUCUUUUUCGGGAAGAAAAACUAAUUAAAUCAAUCAUCAUACACCUUCAGGGUGUUUAAAGAAAUUGGCCAUGUGAAAAUGCUAUUAUAAUUUUGAUUCGUCAAAUGUACUUCGGGACAUUUAUCUUUAGGACCUUUAUUUUUGUGUCCUUAUCAUUAUUAUCCCACUUCAAGUGGUAACUUUUUCUCUUGUCAUGGUAAAAUAUAUAUUUACCAAAAUCAUAAUCAUGGCAACAACCAUAACUAAUAAAUUGAAAUUUAGUCGCAUUCACUUCUGGGAAUGGACUAGAACUAGCAUGCAAUAAGUACAGAAUACUUCUCAAAUUUCUCUUAAUAUUGCUACUACAGGAGCAUAUUCGAGAAACCAAUUGUGGAGAAUAUCAUUUUCAAUUAAGAAAUAAUUCUAAACAUAGUAAAAUUGUGUACUUGCAGCCAUAAGUAAAUUUAUCAUAUCAGAUUUUGAAAUAAUGACCAUUUUCUGGUGGCCAAAUAUUUUCGUUAAAGAACGACCAUCUUCAGGUGAUCGAAUCUUUUUCUUUAAAUAUUUCAAAGGACAAGUAGAUCAUCAAAUAUAAUUGAUUUUCUAUAAUAGCAUCUCCAAAAUUCAUUGCAUCAGAAUAUAAGUAUUUAUAACAAAUAAUUCUAAAGAUAAAUAAGUAGAAUUAAAGGGAGAAAUAUUAUCUCAAAGAUAUCAAACAGUAUAUAUUUGUGUUUAAUGAUUGCUCAGCAAUAGACACUUGUAUUUUUUUGAUCAUUCAAAUGUUAGCCAUAAGAAAUUGAAAUAAAUUUAUGUGUCAAAAAUUUACCUCAAUAAGUAGACAGAAGUUGCCGAAAAAAUACGGGCAGAAUCUCGUGUUUCACUUUUACUCAAGGUAGAGGCUCCGUUUUCACAUUUUCCUCAAAAAUAGAGACUCGUGCUGAUAACGUGUUAUAAAACUAAUAAAAUGAAAUACUACAAUAGGAAUUGAAGAAGGAGUAGAGAAAGGGAGAAUGAUAUCCUUAUAUUUCAACAAGAUACAAAAGUCCUCUCAAAGGGUUUCAAUGUACCUCUAUAUAUAGGCACUACAAAAUUAAAGGUACAUAAAUCCUAUUAAACAUCCACUACUACAAUAAUAUGAAGAAACCUAUGAAACGGUUUCUCCACUACAUGAAUAGAUUUAUGAAUUGUAACUUCUAUACAUAAUGUAAUCAUAAAUCAUGAAUUAAUUCUCUUGGGAAUACAAAGGGACAUCCAUACUUUUAAUUGUUUCAUAACAAUUACUUCAAUUGUUAGAUUUUUUAAAAAGUAAGAUUAAUUAAACAGUGUGUAUAAAUGUAAAUGAUGAUAAUAAUUAUUAGUACGUGUAUACAUAUGAUAAGUUAAAUGAAAUUUAGAUGUAUUAACAAACACCUAUUGGAAAACCCAUAAAGAAAUUUAACUUCAAAUGACACGUAGCAUCUCAGUAUUUGUGUCGUAUUUGAAUGGUUUAAUUACUACUAAUAAGCGACUUUAUGUCUGCACUGUUUUUGAGUGAAUAAUUUAGAUUUCCCCAAAAUAGGUAUUUUCUUGGUAUUUUUCUUGUUUCUUUUUCGUUUCCCUAGAUUUUUAAACGGUCCAGGUGAUCUUGUGUGAUUAGUCAGUAUCCUUUUCAUCCAUCCACAUUGGAUUCAUUUCACGAGGGUUGUUGAAAUGAAAGAUAUGGAUUUUAAGGUUCAAAUCACCGUGAUUAAAUGAAGUUUUGCUAUUUGAGGUAUAAGCACCUGCGACCACCAAGGCGCAGGCAUCACAUAAUUCGCAUAUAUGAUAUACCAAUCAUCUCAAAGUUGGAAAAACAAAUAUAGAUUCUUUUUCUUUCACAUCCCAGGUAGUUAAUUAGUCAUCUUGAUGCUGCAAUGCGGACUGACGAAAUGAAAUGACAUCUGCAUGGUACAUUGCAUUUUUCACAAGAUCUCCCUUGUCAAUUUGCUUUGUCCUUUACUGUCUAUGGUUGCUUUAUUGUUUUUUCAAGCACUAACCAUCGACCAAACUCUGUGAUACUACGUCUUGGGGACUAAAUUCAGAUGCUGCAUAAUUCUAAAGCUCUUUGUAACAUAUGCUUAUAAUUCCACACGAUUUAUUCGUGUUAAAACUGAUUUCUAGUGUGCAUAAUCAUGAGUUGGGCUAAAAUUUAGUGUCAACGUGAAUUUGCAAAUUGUAAUACAGGACUAGAUAAAAGCCAUUAAUUUUGCCUAGAGCUCUAGCACGACUUAUAAGACUGCUCUGAACAGAUCGAGUUCAACUCAAAUUCAAGUAAUCCUAAACUUAAAUAACGAGCUAAGAUAGAACGCGGGGGAUGAGAUGGUAAAAUGCCCAAGCUAACACUAACACAAAAGCCCUGAACUUAACUUAAAGGCCAUGGAUCUCAUCUUUCAUUAAAUUCAAAUCACUUGCCAUGGAUCAGUGUUAAUCAUCUCCAGUAGUGUUGCAACUCACCAACUCUAAAUUUGAACUUAGCAUCUGUUAGCAUUAGAAAAAAGAUUAAUAAUAAUCAUAAUAAAAAAGUGAAACAAGGGAAAGUGGCCAAAAAACAAAAAAUGAAACAAAAAAUAAAAGAAAAAGAAAACAAGAGACAGGGAUCCAGUGUCAGCAGAGAAUAGUGUAGGAAAUGAUCCAAGGAAACAACGAUAAAACCGAUUUGAUAUGAAAUCCCGGAUUUUGUUCCUGUGUCAGUUGAUAGAGGGGCGUACUAAUUACUGGCUUGUUGUGCUGCUGGACCAUGGAUUCAAUAACAGGACAUGUCAAGAAGACGACGAAUAAUUUCCAACUGGAAUCAAGGACAGAUAUUGAAAAAAAAGAAAAGAAAAGGUAGUACUACUAAUUAACUACUUACGUUUUACUAAAUCGCCAUUGAAUAAUUGUUGGUUAAUUGAAGGGCCGUGAGCUUGGAAAAGUAGUCAAGAAUUAAGGAAAAGAGAACCCUCCAAAAUUAAAGCCUAUAGCUAUGUAAUAAAAAUCUUUUGCUCUCCAUCACCAUCAUCAUUAUCAUACCUCUUGAGAUUCCUUCUUCGCAUAUUUCAGUCAUAUAUACUAUUAGUUAGUUAAUGGGCAUGCCCUUUUCGUCCUUGCCCUGCUAAAGCAUGGCUUGGCACCAAGAUGAUAACAUUCUUUAGAGUACUAACAUAUGUUUUCUUUGUUGACAGUAGCAGUUAAUCGAAUGUUUGAAUGCCAUUGGCCCUUUUUUCUCAAGAAAAAGUUGUUCACUGGCUUUUUAAGAAUAAAGCUGAGGUACCCUUCAUUUAUGCUCCUAAGCCUAAUCUAUAAGAUUUGCAAAUCAGAAUCAUGGGCCACUAGCUAAUAUUCUAAAGAAACUCGUACAAUUUGCAGGGCCAAUACUUUUGAUUUUGGAAUUUCGAAGAAAAGAAACAAGUAAGAUAUAAUUGUAAUCGUAAUCGUUCCGAAGGAAAAACAAAAAAAAGGGAAGAAAGAUUGGUUUACCAUAUGAUUAGGUUAAUCACUUAAUUAGUGAUCAAUACAAAAGGGCCCUCAAGUUAAUCAAAUGGUCUAUAUAGCAUUACAGGAUUAUGGAUUACAUCCUCAAGUAAGUAGGGCCGAAGAAUUAAUUUACCUAGGGAGCAUUAUCAUUAAUAAACAUGUUAAAAAAUAUGAUGAAAAGGAAAAGGAAAAGGAGGAUGAAGUUAUGCUAAAAACAUAUAGAAUUUAAGAAAAAGUAAUGUGGUAAACUUGUUGGGGUCUGCCAUUUAGCAAUUACAAUAAGGAAAAAGGCUUUCUCGGGGAAGGGGGGUGGGGUCGGGUGCAUUGGAGAUUCUCAUUUGGUUGGUUGUGGUAUGGUAUAAUUGGUGAAUCGAAACAAAUGUAUGGCCGUAUGGGGGUGGCAGAUUGGUCUCUGACAUGCACAAUCAUCAAAGAGUGAUUGAAAGUCGAAACCAAUGUGAGGGCAAAAAGAGACGUCAAGUGGGCCAUUCCAUUUGUUUGGGGCAAAAUCUUUGCUCUACGGACUACAAUAAUAGAGUCUUCAUGAACAGCUCCAUCGAUUUGACUAUUCAAUGUGCACUAAGACCCGUACCAUGUCUCCAAUAUAUUCGCCACAGUUUUAUUUUCCGGACCUUUUGACACGGGAAUUUCUAUUUUACGUCCACUUCCAUUCUAAGCCAAAGAAAAGAGAUGGAUUCAACCAAAGGAGUCUAUAGAAAAUUUAGAGGAAAUUGAAUCAUCACUAGACUAGACAAGCAUCUUAGCAUCUAUUGAAAUGGUUCUCAUGAAAUGGUUCUAAGUGGCCACCACCUCUCCUGGUGGGAUGGGACGUUAGGAGUUCAAUCCUUGCCUCCCACCAAAUUGUCUGUCUCUCAUGGAUAACUCGGUUGGUCUCAGCAAGCCUCCUUAGGAGCUGGUGUCCAGUACCCGCAAGAGUCCGAAUUCUGUGAUUAUCGUGUUCGGGGGGAUGGGGCCUCUCCUCCCGGGCCGGAGUGGAAUUAGUCGGACCCCGUAAGUAUUGACCCGGACACCCACUCCGUCAGCAAAAAAAAAAAAAGUUGGAAUCCUCUAUGCUACUAUUCGGUGUCAAAUUCAGUGCCAAUUCCACUUAUCAUAUGAUGGUAGAAGAAAUUUAAAUAAACAGGACACUUGGCAUAAAUAUGGAAGUGACACUGAAUUGUCACUAGAAAAGUGGCACUGAGGAUCUCAUGUGCCAACCAAAAGGGUCAAUGGAGAAUUUAGAGGGAAUUGAAUCGCUACCGAACUAGACGAGUGUCUCUGUAUUUAUUGGUAAAUUUUUCUAAAAAUUACUGGAGAAAAAUGUAAUUCAAGAAACUUGAGCCCUUUAACCUACACAUAACUACAUAAGGAGAGCUUUAACCUUUUUCGCAGUGGCCAACUACCUCUACGAUAGUUGGUUUAUUUUCCAGACUUGUUGGUUGAAGGGAAAAGAGAGAUUUACUGAAGCAUACCUACAAUUGGGAACAAAUGCCUCACUGCUAAUUUGCCUAACACUUCAAUUGUUUUCUUUUUAACUUUUUAUUAAAAAAUGUAAGUAAACAAGAUUAUUGAUUUACAAUUGAACAUUCAAAGGUUGGUUUUAGAGAUUGGGUUAGUCAAAUACUACUGCCUUUUUUUUUUUUUUUUUUUUUUUUUGGCCUUUUCAUAUCCUUGUUAACGAAUUAAACACUCGGAGUCGAGGUGUUAAUUAAUUCUCCUACUCAGUCAUACAGUAGUGACAAUGCCGCAGUCCACUUUUUAAUCACUUGGGAUCCUCGGUGACAUUUUUUCUAUGGCAACCCAAUGCCACCUAUAAUAUUGCACCAAGUGUCCUGUUAUUAUUUACACUUUAAUUUUCUAAUAAUUCAACUUUUUUCUAAUAAUUCAACUUUGUUUGGUUUAACACAAGUGUAAAUAAUAACAGGACACUUGGUGCAAUAUUAUAGGUGGCAUUGGAUUGGCAUAGAAAAAAUGUCACCGAGGAUCCCAAGUGCUUUUUAAUGCGACAUCUAAUUUCUCUCAAGAUGACAAAUUUACUCUUUUUCAAGUGUAUUCAGUAUUUGACUAUUGAAGGACAUAAAUAAAUUAUUAUAGUAUUUGAUAGUAGAUAUUUGGUGUGGAAAUAAAAACAGGUGCUGUGGAUAUAGUAUCAUUUGUCCUCAAGGGCAUAUGAUGAUAUUUGAAGGACAUAAAUUCUGUCCAGUAUUGUUGUUGUAUAUUCGUAGAACAUAAACGUGUCGUGGAGAGAAAAAUGGAGAAGUAGGAUCCAUGGCAGCAAAGCAAGCCAAUCCAAUCGGGGUUGGGAAACUGUUAAUGAGGCUAUCUGUCUCAGUGAGUGUCUCUAUUUGCAGGGAUUGGGACCUAUCAGCUGGGGUGGGUCUGAACCUACGAGACCCUUCCCCACCCCUGCUCAGCUCAGAAAGAUUACAAAAUCAUCAGCUCCAAUUCAGCAUUCCCUUCCAUCUCUACUCAUUUUUUUUUUAAAUAUGAUAAAAUUUAUUCUAUAUCUUUUUUUACUCUACACUAAUACUUUAUAUUAAGAGGAAAGGGAGGAUGUAAGGGAAAAUUCGAAGGAGAUUAAACCGCUAUCGAACCAGACAGGUACCUUUGCAGUCACGGAUGAAAUUUUCAGAAAAUUCUAAAUAGGAAUACAGACUAGAGACUCCAUCCCUUGACCAAAAUCAGCAAGAGUUUUAAACAUCCCCCCUAGAGUAGUUGGUUCCCUUCAAUCUCUACUUGCUGUCUCCUUUUUUAAAGGACGUAUUGGAAACAGAGAAUUUGGUUUGGGCCACAGGAGCUGAGUAGUGCAGGACAUGGGACCCUGAUAAUUUGGUUUUAAUUUGUUUAAUGCUACUUCAUGUGAAUAGCUAGUCUCCUUUCUUCCUACUUACUUCCAGCUCAACCAAUUGUCAAUUGUCCCCGGUGACAACUUGCGAACUGGGGCUGUCCUUCCUGAGAAUUUUUUCCUUCCUGGGACUGGGGCUGUCCUUGGCCACUGCUCUAGUAGUUCACCAGUCAAAUCCAGGUGUGCUGCAAAGAAUGUCUUAAGGGAUUCAAACUUCGGCUAAUGUCCUUUAGUUUACUAAUCAAAUCCGUUGUUUUAACAUAAAAAAGGUCAAGGGGUUAAAGUUUCAACGCCUCUUUUAUCUCCACAAAAAAAAAAAAAAAAGGGGGAUGCCUUUUUUUGUUUAGUUGGAAUGAGGAAAAAAGAUCAGUACCAUGCUACUAUAUUAUAUAGAACGAGGAGAGCAAUGGCGGAAAGGAUAAUACUAUCAAACGAAGUGCAUUGCAUGCAUAACCGGGUCUCUCGGAUCCUGUCCUGUGAGGCACUGACCGAACCAAAAGGGGACUAUAUUAGAUGGUCCAAAGAUGAGAUCUAAUGUUUCUUUAUCUUUUCCUGCAUAUAUAUAUAUAUAUAUAUAUAUACACGCAUAUCUAUUCAAAGCUAAAUAUAAUCGGGCAAGUUUGCUUUGAUUAUCAAGAUUUCAUCAUCAAUCAGAAUUGGGAAAUAAACAAUGAGAAAGCAAUAGAGAAUAUAAAAGAAGCUUCUUUAAUUCAUUCACCACAUCUGAAAAUGUCCCCAUCUCUCCCUUUCAUUCUCCCCCUAUAUUUCUAACAUAGCAAGCCCUUUUUUUCGCUCUCCAAUCCCACUACAGACCAUAUGGAGAAAAAGAGAAAAACAAAGACUUUCCAAAUGAAUAUAGAAGAAAAUAGUAAGUGGAAAUAUAUAUUCCCCAAAAAAAAAAAAAAAACUGCCUAAAUUCUAAAAUCGCAACAAACUUUCAUAUGUCACUGCAGCCAUAGUGUUGAAGAAGCCUAUUGGCUUCUCUAAGACCGCUGAAGUAUGCACCAUGUGUAGUUGAAUAGUGGGUUCUAUGUGUUGCUUCCCCUGCAAACAAAAUUUGAAGCGGAGGAGAGGGAGAUUUGGGAGCUGAUGAAUUGCUUAUCUUGGGCAAUGGCUCAGCCAUGGUGUCCAUAUCAUCCCCACUUGAUCCAACAGCGACAUAACUAUAUGACCCCAAGAAUAGAGGAUCAUUCCCCCAUUUGCUCUUCAAAAUUUUGGCAAAUUUUAUGCAUCUUAAGUUGGAGUUUUCUGCAGAAUUUGCAUCCCCAUUGCAUGGCUGGUUGGAAUCUGACGCAACAUGGUAAUGGGUGGAUUUUGAAAACAAAUUGGAGAUUGUUGUUGAAACCCCAUUAAGGAUAUCGUCGUCGUUAAGAGAUUCAAGCUCCAGGGCCUCUUCACCUGCAAACCAGGAUAAGAGAACACUGGACUUGCUGUAGAUUGGACUGAGAGAUGCUGUCCUUCUCAUCCACCAAGGGAUGUCUGGAUGCCUUGAUAAUGUGUGGUCUGAUUGAUGGAAAACCAUCUGCAGGUUCGGGAACUUGAUGCUGCUCUUGAAUUCUUGACCAUUUGUUGGACUUAAUUGCAAAAACAGCUUGUUAACAACUCCAUACCCAAGUUUUGAAAUUGCUUCAGUCUUGAAACCAGGAAGUGGAGGAUCGAACAUACCGGCAUCUUCGCGAAUUCCAUGUUUAAGAACUCCCAGUGAAACUGUGAGAAUGACAUGGUCUGCUGACAUGGUUGAACCAUCCAGAAAAUGUAGCUUCACUGGCAUAGUACCAUGACCGUUUGGGACUGCUGCUAUCGGUAAAUGGCCGUCAGGCUGCCAUUCUAUUUUGGUGACCUUGCGGCCUAAUUGAACCAAACCAGCGGGCAGUACAGAAGCCAGUGACUCAAUUAUGCUCAAGUAGCCUUUAGCAAUGGUUAUUUCUUCACCUGGAAACAGAAUAUACUCACUUUCGGCGUUAUAAUCCAGAGUAUGCAAAUCUCCAGCUGAGGUAUAUGUCCUCUGCGUGUUUUCGUGCAUUGCAAAAAUGGCCUCUUCGAGUGCUUUUCCGCUCCAAUUCCCAAGCAUUUUGACCUGAUCCCGCUGGUGCUUCAUCGAGCUCCAGUAAGCAUCCAAGCCUUUUCGAAGAAAAGAACCAAUACUGAUGUUUCCAGGGCCGCAAGAUUUAGCUGCAAGCUUGAGAGAACUGACCGUUUCAUCUUCAAUCAAUUUUCCCUGAGAAAAAUCCAUCAAUUUCUUGAAAAGACUAGAAAUUGGCUCAACAAGAGAUGGAUUCAACUCAUAUCCGCCUUCAGCUAUUGUAACUGGCUCGUCCGAAAAGCUAUCCAUGCACUCCCAUGGCUGCUCAGACUCGAGCGAAUUGAUUUCUCGAGCAAUUUUGUGAACUGGGCUACCUUUAAUACCGUGGAUCCAUGUAGCACCUAUCUCAAUCCUGUCACCACCAAACUCCGAGGUGUUGAUCCUCCCACCAAUUCUUGUUCCCCCUUCCACAACACAAAGCUCAAACAAAUCUUUGGAGCCAGCUGAUUUGUAGAGCUUGUUAGCAGCUGUUAGACCAGCCAUUCCGGCUCCAAUUAUCACAAUUCUUGGCUUCCUGGUAAGCAUUUUUUGAGUAUCUCUUGCACUUCCUCUAGCACACAAACUGAAAUACAAAACAAAGACAGCAGAGAGUGAAAUUGUGAAGUGAGAAAUGUACCCUAAGGAGGGAAUAUACACACACACACACACACACACACACACACACACACACACAAGAGAGCAGCAUAUAUUGCCUCAAGAAGAGGGCUCUCUUUUCCCGGCUAGUUUCUUUGUACUUACUUUUACAUUGUUUAUUUCCAUCUAAUAAAAACAGGGCUCUACUUUUCUUGAACCCGCUCUAGCCUCUACCUCCAGCUACACGUAUCAAAUGCCCCAAUGAGGCAAUGACACUGAUAAAACAUCUUUUUAGUCUCCCACAAUCCCGCUGGAUACCUGUAGAACUAUCCUCCAUCAUAAUGUACUUGAGAGUGUCAUAAAUAUUAAGGGCUCACGCAUCUUGUAUGUGUCUGUAUGUAGAUGAAAUAUCGAGCAGUGUGUGUUUAGUUACCCCGGGAGGUAGAAUAUAUUGAUAAGAACACCAAUAAUAGGCUGAUGAUGCCUUUUACCAACCUCACAUGUGUAUCAGGUACCGACGGCCCACCAAUGCCAACACUUUUGAUGGUGCUGAUUACUCCAUCAGCUUCCAUCUCAUGAACUCCUUUCGAUCUUUUCGACCUGCUAAUUAGUCAGAUUGCUAAACAUUGAUUAAGUUUCUUUUCUUUUCAUAUUUUACCCCCACCCUGUGAUGGACAAUUAUCGUGUGGAUUAUGUUAUCCCUCUCAUUCAACGCUAACCUGUGUGACAUAGAUUUGGUUUACGUAUGAGGUUUCAGUUCCAUGCUAAGACAGCAUUGGCCAACACGGAUUUUCAACUGCUUAGAUUGGUGUCAUGUUUUACUUUUAAAGUUAUCUUGAAAUAGCAAUCUCUUUCAAAGCGCAACAUCUGAAAUUUGUAUCGAUCCCUCUAGAUUCUAAUGUGUUGAGAAGCAGACAUCUUGGUGUAUUCAGCAUGCCCCAUAUGUUUUUUGGACCCAUAUGGGGCGUUCUGGAAGCAAACAUCAAUGGGAAAUUUAUCUCUACUGAAUCUUUAGAAGCACAAAAACUAAACAAUAAUAUUGAUUCCGAUGAUAAUGAGCUGCUUAAGAAUCAGUUCAAGAUCACACACAGUGCUUUGCUUCCAAAUCCAUAUAUAUAUAUAUAUAUAUAUCGAUUCCACGCUCAAAAACCUUUUUUUUUUUAUAGAUACUAUAAUGGUUGAGUAGAACCCUUUACAGCCCUUGGACAAAUUUUUUACCAGAUGUUCUUAGCGGAUUUUGCAACAGCUUAGAAAAUCCUCUAACCCUACGCAUUUUGCAAAAGAGGGUGCUUAUGCAGAUUAAUAUGUGUAGCUCAAAAGUCUAAUCUUAAAGAUGCGACAUUUUUACUGAAGUGAGUCAUGGUCAGAGUGCUUUGAUGGUUAACGUGCACGUAUUAUUCAAAAAAAAACUUGGAUUAGCAAGUCUUUAAAACGGGGCUAGAGACCUAGACCGGUCAUUUUUUAAUAUUAAUCAUACUGGUAUUGGAGUAGUCACUACUCGAUCUAGUCACCAUCUCCAGCCUAUUUUUCUCCCUCAAGAGUAUAUGAUUAACCAGUUUGCAUUAAAGAAAUCUAUAUCCUUUUAUCAAAUCUUCAUAAAAGGCUGUGCAGAUAUGUAAGCAUCGUGGGUUGAUGAUCAAGGAAGAAAUCAAUGAAGGGGAAAAAAGCUUGAGCAAGAUUAGAUGUUUCAAAGGUGAUGCUUGAAAAGAUUAAUUAUGUCUAUUGCUCUUUUCUGUCGGUCCACGGGUUUUUAGCCGCAGCCCCAAAAUUAUGAUUCAUCAUCAUUUUCACUACUUGCAAACGUUAUCAUUGCUCCUUUUACAAGAGUUUUGAUUCCUACGUCGUACCUGUUACUAUUGUAACAAGAAGGGUUUUGAUUAAAUCCUGUAAUGCUGUCAAACAGAAUCUCAAGAAGGCAGAUUUGCUGCUUAGCAGGACUGGUAUUUUGCGGGAUAACAUUUAAUGAAGAAAAGCAUUCUACUACUUUUAAUUAAGCUUUUUUUUUUUUUUAAAAUUACACACACACAUAUAUAUAUAUAUAUAUAUAUAUAUUUUUAGCAAUAAUCUAAAUUUAAGCUUAAUUUCAAGUUCUGCAUUCAGAAUUCAACUGAGUUCCUCAAUGCAUGAUUAAAUAGCCUGCAUGAAGACGAUGAGUGUCUUAAUUAGCUUCCUCCCGCCAAGAAUAUAUGCUAGAGAUGUAAGUAUCAAAAUCUCGUAUGACUGGUAUGAGUUCCAUAUUGCAAAGAAAUUAUUGCUGUGUGUGUGUGUGUGUGUUUGAGUUCUUAUUAAUCCUGCCAAUCAAGCCAAGUUGAUAUCUGAUAAAUUUUUAUUCCAAGGAAAAUGAUGUAUGUAUAAUUUUAUAGAAGAAGCUGUCACUUGAGACAAAACACAUUUACAUAAAAAUCCCAACUCAUCAGUACUAAUAUUGCUGAAGCUGAUCAUACAGCAUUAAAAAGUUGAUUGCAAGUGACCAAAUCAAGACUAGUCUAAUUAUAGCAGGUACUUGCAUUCAUUAUUAUAUAGUUCUUGUUUGAAUUCAAGAGCGCAUCAUUAAUUUGGGGUACUAGAGUACGUAUAAAUAAUCACUUAAGGUGAUGCAUCAUUAUCAAGGUUUAAUAUCAAUGCCUGACGAAGAAGUCAAAGUAGUCCUUGAGUUCCAAAUUGCACUCCACGUCCUCUCUGGUCUGGUGAAUGAGACUCCUCAGCAUAAUCUCCCCCUUGAGCGCCCAAAAGGAUUCGAGUCAAAUAGGUAGAAAUAUCACAACAUCUAUGUAUGCUUUGACGGUCGUGCUAGGUAUUAGCAUACCAACGUCAUCGCAUCAAUUUCUUGAUCAAACAAGCGGCCCAUCUCUUGCGCAUUUAUUGAUAGCCCUAUAAACAAAAAAAAAAAAAAAACUUCUAUCUAUUUAUAUUUAUAUCGAGAAAAAUCGUCCAAAAUGUCCCUCACAUUUUAUAAAAUGACCUUUUUCGUCCCUCACUUUUAAAAGUGUAAUUUUAUGUCUCUUUCAUAUUCACAUCGGUCAAAUUUAGUCCCUAACUAGGUUUCCAAUCAUUUUUUGGCCGGAAUCCAUCACGUGUAAGGCACGUGAUCAUUUUUGAAGGGUAAAUUUGUCAAAUUAUAUUUUACAUAAUCUGAUCUAUAGUCCUCCACAUUUUUAUAAAACAAAUUUUUUCGUCCCUCACAUUUUAUAAAAUAAUUUUUUCAUCCCUCACAUUUCACAAAAUGAAUUUCUUUAUCCCUCACAUUUCAAAAAAUGAAUAUUUCCAUCCCUCAUUAAUUAUGUAUGUGAGGGAAAUUCUAAAAAAAAAGUAUGUGAAUACAUUUUGUUUAAAUACAUGUAUAUGUCUAUUUGAUUUUGCUUAAUAAUACGAAUAGCAUAAAUAUAUGUAUGUGUCUAUUUGAUUUCACUUAACAAUACGAAUACCAUAUAUUAUGCGUGAUCAUUUGAUUUCAUCUGGUAUUAGCUAGUAAAUAAUCUUGCAUUCAUUGUCAAGUUGGCCAAUAAAACUAUUUUCGAUCAAAAUACAAUAAGAAUAUGCAAAUUAAAGUUCUAUUGGUAAAUAUUAGUCAUAAUUAUACAAGAAGAGAAGAUAGCCCACAAGUUGGACCCAAUUACAUACAUGUGUUUAUGCUAUUAUUAUUAAGCAAAAUCAAAUAGACAUAUACAUGUGUUUAAAAAAAUGUAUUCACACACAUAAUUAGUGAGAAAUGAAAAUUUCAUUUUUUGAAAUGUGAGGGAUGGAAAAAUUCAUUUUGUGAAAUGCGAGGGAUGAAAAAAAUUAUUUUAUAAAAUGUGAGCGAAAAAAAAUUUAUUUUAUAAAAUGUGGAGGACUAUAGAUCAGAUUAUGUAAAAUAUAAUUUGACAAAUUUACCCUUAAAAAAUGAUCACGUGCCUUGCACAUGAUGGAUUCCCGCAAAAAAAUGAUCGGAAACUUGGUUAGGGACUAAAUUUGUCCGAUGUGAAUAUGUAAGGGAUAUAAAAUUACACUUUUAAAAGUGAGGGACGAAAAAAGUUAUUUUACAAAAUGUGAGGGACGUUUUGGAUGAUUUUCCCUAUUUAUAUUUAUAUAUAUGCACCGUGGUACUUCUAUCUAUUGUUUGACAAGUGAGUUUUUUUGGUGUUUGUCUAAAACUUUACUGUAACUUACUAUAGAAGUUUUUAAAAAAAAUUUUUGAAUUGUGUAAAUUUUUGUAUAUUUUGAAGUGUAUAGUUUAAAAACUUUAAGAAGUUUUUUGAUAUUACUGUAGUAAAAGUUUUUAAAAAACUUAUAGCAGACAAACUUGGCAAAAAACUCAAAUUCCAAACAGGGUCAAUUGGUGUUUGUUUAUGUAGGAAAACGUACUAGUAACUAAUGGAGUUACGGAUUUUGGAUUCAAAAUUUUCUACUUCCGUUUCUUAAGUUCCAUGUGUUUUCUGCUUUAAAAUUUUUUUUUUUUAAUAAAGAUGGAGUUAAUAUACAUUUGAUGAAUUAGGAGGGUGGUUCGGUCGGUCCAUCAAUGCUCUUACUUAAAACAUAUGAAGAAAAAAAGCAAGAAAAUAUUAUGGGUUGUUGAUUGUUGAUGAUGGUCGGUUUCGAUGAGACUAGCAAAUUUUGCUUUUUUUCUUUUUUAUGUUUGAUUUGGAACAAUUGAAAUGAAAAUGAAGUGAUGGGUGGUCUUGUCCUUUUCAUCUCGUCCUGGUGUCUUUCACUUUCACUUUCACUUUCACUGCUUGGGGGUUGGGGGGCUACGUCACCCACUCCUUUUCUUCGUAUAUAAUUUCAGACAAGAAAAGGAAACGCCAUGCUGUGCGGGGCUAUGUUUGUCAUUGCAGACUCUUCUGUUCAUCAUUUACGGCGCAAUCUAUAAGUUAUUGUACACUUCCCAUUUGGACCAUUCGGUUGCCGUCCAAUAUACUACAACUACAACUUCCAAUUGUAAUAUGUUCUUUUCCGGUAGAAAAAAAGGGGGGGGGGGGGGGAGGCCUGCUUUCUUUUACAAUUUGCUCAACAGCAUUAUUGCUAAGGGGUCAUAUGCAUGGAUUGGCCUUGUAAUUGCACCUUCACGAACGAGUGAUUAUUUAGAACCGAGCAUCACAUUUGUCCGGUGAAAGAGUAAGUGACAGGCGGCCCAAUCCCACGAUUACGUUAAAAAUUGGCCCUGCAUGGCAGCCUGAAAUUGACGUCUGGGCACCCCGCGGACCGCCAUUUCGGCCAUUGUCACGUUUGAAACCGAGUCCCCUGGAGAAUUUCCCCAUGCAAGAACAGUCAAUCACAUGAUAGAAUGGCUUAUUCCCAGUAUAAUUCCCAGUGAAACUAGUAGAGAAAUCAAUUCUUGUGCCAAAAUAUAAGUCCAAUGCUGCUCAAGAAGAAUGCUUCUGCUAGCCAGAGGAAUUGAAACUUUCCCGGUGGAUUAGACUUGCCACUCGUACAAAAUAGCAGCAGGGCAGAGGCAAUACCUAGUGAUGCAGCAAUUACAAAAACCAGAAGCCAUGAUUUUUUAUAAAGAAAGUUCCACGUUACUGCCAAUAGGACAGGGGCUUAUGCAGUUGACAUAACUGCAAUGAACUUGGACCAUCUCUCCCCACAAAUUAUUGGAAUCGUCAAUUUCCUAGGCAAGUCAAGAGGCAAUUCUAGUGUGCACAGAAUUUUUCCGAAAGAGCACCUUAGUACUAUAUCUUUCUGUUUAACAACUGCAUAUUAUCUGAUACGAAAUAUGGGCCGCUUAUGGGCCAUGUUUUGGGCUGCAAGAGAUUGAAUCUUUUAGUAAUAGUUAGUAGUUUAUUUUCUAGAUUUCUAUUUUUUUUGCUAGGAAUAAAUUCGGUCCAAGACCUCAUGUUGACUUGGAUCCGAUUUAUAGAGUCUAGGCUCACUAUAACUUAAGUUGGUUAAUUAGCUUUUAUUGGGUUAUGUUGGGCCAGCUUAAAGCCUUCAUUGGAUCAAUUAUAAGCUGACCAUUAGAUAGUGGAUUUGAGUAGUGGAAUCGGACCAAAGGCCUAGCCUAGCCGAGUUAGGGUUUUGUCUUGUAAGGCUAUAUAUAGCCUAGGUUUUCAUUCAUUAAAGGACAGAAUUCAGAUUUUAUAACAUAAUUGUGAGUUUAUUCACUCUCUCUUGCUUCAAGGGAAUUUCCUUUGAAUACUUGAGAAUUAAUCUCAAGUUGUUCAUCGAACUUAUCAAUCAAGUAGUCUCCUUGAUUGUGGCGUUCUUCUAAAUAUACUUUGGUUCACUAAACUGGCUAGUCAUGGGUUAAGGAUUCUCCUUAGUUCGUGGCUCAUGAUUCUAGCAGGGUCAAAGUUCCGCAAAUCCACUCAACUUGGUGUUCGUCUAGAUCCGUCUCACAUCAUCUGGUAUCAGAGCUUCGGCUCUUGAUUCAGGUUAAUAUCCUUUUUCUUUUCUUAUUUGUCUAUUUUUUUUUUCUAUCGAAACCCUAGCCGCCUUUCAAUUUUAAAAGAAAAAAAAAAUUUUUGGUUCUUGUUUUUUUUUAAUUAUUUUAUCACUUGAGUCUAACCUACCCCCUUGAUUGAACGAGGUUGGAAUUUCUUGGUGUGAUUACGUUCUUGAAAACAGGUUUUUCAAGGGUUUAACUCCCAUUAAAUUUCUUCCAAGUGAAGUCCUAACCUUGCAUCGAGUCGUCAAAAGCAAAAAAAAAAAUAAAUAAAAAUACUGUUCACAGCGGUACUGUUCAUCGGAACUGUUCACACUGUAGCAGUACUGUUCAUCGCCGCACUGUAGCAGUACUGUUCAUCGUACUGUAGCAGUACUAUUCAUCCGAAAAUUAUUAUUUUUUUUUUCUCUUUUUUUCCCAUACCUUGUGGUUGUUUCUUGUUGUUCUUGCUUCUUGUAGUUGGCUUGAUAAUUUCUUGAAGUUCUUGGAUUACAUAUAACAUUCUCCGAGUUACUCCUUUGUAAACAAGCACUCGAUUUGAGGACAAAUCGUCUUUCAAGAGGAGGGGAAUGAUGAGAACAUGAAGAUUUGCAUGGAUUCCUUUCAUUUUACAAGUCUGCACAUUCUAAUGAUGGUUGAUGGUGCAAUCGGGCUCGAGAAUCAUUGAAGAUCCAAAUUUUUCAAAUUUUAAUUGGCUUCCAAAUCUUGAUUGGUAUCUUGAUUGAUUUCCAAAUUGAGAGUUAAGUAAGUUGUUUGAAUUAGGGAAUAAAGGCUAAGGUCAUGUUGACCAUAGUUAAGCCAAUUUGAAUUAGUUAGUUUCCUAUUCUAGUUGAAUUAGAGUUUUAGGAAAGCAGUUAAUUGCUUCCAAAUUUGUUUAGGAAGUUGUGUCAAGUUUAGAAGUCAAGUCAAAUAAGGAAACUUGUAUUGUUUCCAAUUUAGAUUAGGGUUUUGAGUCUUGCAAGGCUAUAAAUAGCCAACUUUAUUUAACUAUUGAAAAACACAAUUAUGAGAUGAAUAAAAAAUUGAGAGUUUUCUCUUUCUUGUUCCUUUGGGAGCGUUCCUUGAUACAAAGUGAGUUGUAUCUCCUUUGUUCAAGUUUCGGCUUAUCAAUUCAAGACCAUGUUGAAUUGUGGCGCCUUCUACACUUGCCUGAGGUUCACUAAUUCGUUUGGUUACGGGUUGAGAUAAUAUCAACAAGUUCGUAGUCACGGGGAUUAGAGGGGUCGUAAGGUCUUUCCAUCUUUGUAUCCAUAACCUGGUCAAGAUAGAUCCUUCCGCUGCCUGAUCGAUUCGGUUCUUCAAGACAGGUUCUUGUUGGGUCGAGUACGAAAUAUGGGCCGCUUAUGGGCCAUGUUUUGGGCUGCAAGAGAUUGAAUCUUUUAGUAAUAGUAGUAGUUUAUUUUCUAGAUUUCUAUUUUAUUUGCUAGGAAUAAAUUCGGUCCAAGACCUCAUGUUGAGUUGGAUCCGAUUUAUAGAGUCUAGGCUCACUAUAACUUAAGUUGGUUAAUUAGCUUUUAUUGGGUUAUGUUGGGCCAGUUUAAAGCCUUCAUUGGAUCAAUUAUAAGCUGACCAUUAGAUAGUGGAUUUGAGUAGUGGAAUCGGACCAAAGGCCUAGCCUAGCCGAGUUAGGGUUUUGUCUUGUAAGGCUAUAUAUAGCCUAGGUUUUCAUUCAUUAAAGGACAGAAUUCAGAUUUUAUAACAUAAUUGUGAGUUUAUUCACUCUCUCUUGCUUCAAGGGAAUUUCCUUUGAAUACUUGAGAAUUAAUCUCAAGUUGUUCAUCGAACUUAUCAAUCAAGUAGUCUCCUUGAUUGUGGCGUUCUUCUAAAUAUACUUUGGUUCACUAAACUGGCUAGUCUUGGGUUAAGGAUUCUCCUUAGUUCGUGGCUCGUGAUUCUAGCAGAGUCAAAAUUCCGCAAAUCCACUCAACUUGGUGUUCGUCUAGAUCCGUCUCACAUCAUUAUCCUCAUCAUAAUUCUUUAAGGUUGCAGAAUCAUCAUCUGCAACAAAGUUGCCUGCAGUUCUGGGGAUUCCUGUCGGUCGUUUUUCACUAACGCCAAUUUUCAGUUUUGGUGGCAGAUUAGGCUUCUUUUUCCCUCUCUGCAAGAAUUUCUGAUGCAAAAAUGGAACCAACAUAUAUAGAAGCAACAGAGGUAGAAAAGCAAGACAGAAACAUUCCCUGUAAUACUGGAAGAAAUAACUUUUCUGCUUUGGUGCCUGAUUGAAAUGCUUAUGAUUCCAACGACCACACAGGACACAAGAAAUGCACCACCCAAAAUGCUAUUCAGGCCAAUAUCAUCAGUAUUUCAUCUCCCAUGAAAGUAUGCCGGCAAAAACGUCCGAUGCGCCAUUUCGAAGAGAUAGAAGAGUUACACCAGCAACGGUUGGGGAGAGCUUCAAACAUCUUGAUAAGCCCAUUAGUGAGGAACAAAAGUAACUGUUGGCAGUGUCACCAAGGAGAUUGAAAAGCAAUGCUAGCCAAAAAGCAAGCAAACUAUAACCAAGUCCUGGGCUAAAUGUGCAAUAAAACAGCUCCAGAUAGGAAACGUAGUCCUGUGGUUGACAUCCCAAGUGGGAUUUUACAUAUAAGCACAGCUCUACUACUUGUAGGUUUGAAUCUCAUUACAACCAUUAUCUUCAUUCAACAAGAUUUGGUAGUUCUUGAUAGAAGGGUUUUUCCCUUGUUGAAGUUGUUUAGGAAAUUUGAGUUUGAAGAUUUAAUAUUGAUACUGAGGCAUAAGGUAAGAAAAAGGAAGAUUACGUUGAGAAAAACAGUGAGACACUCGGCUUUGCGAAUUAAGAGGAACAAUCCCAUGGUUUAGCAACCAUAGGGAGAGGAAAAUAGAAAGAAAGAGUUGUGUGGGAGAGAAAAUUAAUGAGGUCCGAUGUUGAAUGAAUCAAGAAUCCUAACAAAUGUCUCGUACAGGGACAUGCAUGAUUGAACAAUCAUAAGGGACUUUUUGAGGAAUAAAGAAACACUUAAAGAAUCACACUAUAUAACCUAUUGAUGCUAAGGUUUAUGAUUCGAGGAGAUUCUCAUUAAUAAUUUCGUGACCAUGCCGAAUACACCUUAGUUUCAGGCAGCCAAGGUUACCAUUUUUCAGACACUGCUUCCCCCGGUUGGUAGAAUAGAAAACUAACAUGCGAUAUUUGCUCUAGCUAGCCAAUAUACAUUUUCUCUGGUUAUGCCCAGAGAUAAGUCGAUGAAAGGAGAUGGGCUAUUGUAUCAUACAAAUUUUUGGAUCAUACAAAAUGUCAAAAGCAAUAAUGGGCAUGGCUCCAAAUUUUUGGAUCAAGAAAGCAAAUUUCUGUAGUAAAGUGCAAAUGGGCUCGAACUAAUGGAUAAAUGGAGGGACUUCCUUCCGCGUCAUACUUUUAAUGGUUACAAAUAUUGAUGAAAAUCUGUCGUCAUAAGUAAAAAAGUUUAUAUUAUUGAAUGAAUUUUUUUUUUCUUAAAUACUUGGUAAUAAAUUGAAUAAAUUGAUAGCGAUUUUCUUUGACCACGAGACAUGUAUUGUAAGAGUUUCUAUCGAAAAAUUUUGAAAUUUUCAUUCUACUUAAUCACCUAAACUACUUGAAUGCAUGCCUCUUUGGCAACUUGAUUACUUUACUCAUCUUCAAAUCUUACACGUAUAAGCUUGAUGGAUAAGAAUAAGGGCUAAUCUUAUAUGCACUAUUACAGUUAGAUGUAUGACAAAUGAGUAAAAAUUUAGAUUUCAAAUUUAAAUUUAAAUAAAUUGUCAUGCAUCCAAUGACGACAGUAUAUAUGUACAUUGUCAAUGUAGAUGAUUAAUUCUAAAAAUAAAUUAAUAAUUCAGCAAAGCAAAAGGCAUGUUAUUUUACUCCAUUUCAGGUGUUGAUGCACAAAGUCACCAAUUUUGGAAUUAGGUUGCCAUAACUUGUUGUUGAUAAUGAACUAGACAUUGCCAUGUCAUUUGAGACACUAACCGUAUCAAUUACCCUUUUAAUCUUAACUCAUAAGUCGUAACUGAAAAAUAUAGAACCUAGAUUACAUAGAUGGAUUCUGAAUUUAUCCUUUCAACAUUCGCAUACUUCUUAUGGCAAUAGCCUAUGCCUUGUCUUGCCUUUUUCCGAGAGCAGAAUCAUCAAAAAAUUUAAAAUUCAUCAUAAGUAAAAUGCAAUUUUAAGUAAGCAUAAUUUAUGAUUAAUUUCUGAACAAUGAAAUUAAGUAAAACACACUUGCUGCUUUUGAAAUCAUAUAUUCUUUUUAUGAAUGAAUGGAGAAACCUGACUCUCCUAUUCUUCAUAGGACGUUUUACCAUGUAAGAGAGUUUUUCAACCAUCAUUUAUCUUUUUCGCCCCUAUUUUUCUCAUUGACAGAUCCCAUUUUUCCCACCGAUGGAGGCUUCCACUAUAUUUUUUUGAAUCAACAAAAUGUUGUGUUCUACCACAGACAGCCACCUACCACAGAAAACCAAAAAAUUUUGAUUGUUUUUUUUUUUCACAACGGAGAACGUUGGUUUGACUUGAACGGAGAAAUUUUUCCAAUUUGAAAAAGUCCCAUGCUCAAUCUUUGAAUUGUCAAAUAAAUAUAUGUUUGACAAGUUGAUAGAUCUAGCCAUGGGUAAAUUCCGUGGGACUAACUGCUUCCUUCAGAUCUAUGGCAUUACUACUAUAAAGGAGGAAAACUGUCCAAAUCGCUAUAUUAUUAUUAUUCAACAGUUAGAUGGCAUUCUAAAGGAGUAUUUCUAGAAUCAGCCCACCACCAAUCAUAAUCCUUGAGGUUUUUCUUUUGAUGGAAAUAUAUGACAAGAUUAUCGACGACAAAACUAUGUAUGAAAAAAGUUAAGGUUUCUUAGAAAGAGAUAUACAUGUUUUUAUGUGAGGAAUUACCCUAAUCGCCUCGGGCCGGCAACAGGAUGACAGUGGAAAAUAUAUAGGUAAACAGGUUAUUAUGCGUGCCGCUUAAAGAUGUAUCCUUAAGGCCUUGCUGUGGAAAGGACGUUUCUCAUACUGUCUGCCCCAAGUUCGGCCAGCUAUAUGCUUCACGAUGCACCUUAGUUGUCUUCCUUAUCAUGUGCUGUAUAUUAAGAUUGUUUUAACUUUUUGCUGUUCUACUAGAAUUUUGUAGCUUUGUUUCUACAUAUAUGCCCAAAAUGUUGAUGUGAAAUUGCUUUUUGAGAGGAUGGGCCAUUUCGUUUUCCCUUUGAAGUACCUAUUUAAGGCGUUAUUUCAUUGUGUUGUUAAUGACAAUAAUACAAGCAGUAGUCGUGGAUGAAAAGUUUUGGCUGAUAAUUCUGUAUUAACAAAAAAUGGACAUGACGUUUUAAAUAUUGUCUUAUCGAGACUGUAAAAUCUGACUCAGUCCUGCACCAGUAACAUUUUAGAUGCUGAAAAACUUUUAUCUUCUACUUUCUUUACUGAAUAACUGUGCUAUUUUUUUUUUUGUUGUUUGUAGGAAAAUCUAGCACACAACAAAUCGUUUUAUCAUUAUGCAUUAAAUCAUAUCAUAGUAGAUUGCUAGUAUUGUUUACAGUCCGUCCAUAUCAAUUUGCUAGUAUUGUGCUUAUCAAAUAGGUAAAUUAAGUAGAUGAGGUAGCUCAGAUUUUUUAUAACUAUUCCGCCGGGGUGUAAUAACUUGCUUCAAAGAUCUUGCCGAGGAGAAAAUUUAUCAUAGUGGUGUAAUGGCUAAAAAAGUUUUUCUUGCUGGAGAAAAAGUCAAGCUUUUGUUUGCUCUGUUCAAUUGCAAAGAUAGCAAGGAAAAGGAGUGGAAAGACGACAUGCAACUUUGAGAUGGGGUGCUUGGGGCAUAUGUUCAAUGAUAUACUGCCACCACCGCAGCCUCCCGCAUCCUUAGUUGCAAAAUACAAGUCUUUUUGUAAAGUAAAAGAUUAUUUCGGGUGAGUUUCUAGAUCUUUUUUGGUGUUUAUGAACUUUUUAUGUUUUAUUCCUUGACUGAGUUUUAUUUCAUUUUUCCUUCAGACCAAAAGUGUAUCAUCAUUCAUAUCUCUUGUCUCAUGAAGAGCGCGAAGCUUUUCAGAUUCAUGCACGUCCAAGGUUGAAAGGUAGAAUGCUACAAUGAAAAAAUACAGUUUCAGUCAGGUACUGGAUUGCUAGGAUUGAUGAGGCGAGAGUCUGCGGUGCAGUACUUAUUUACCCUUACCUUAAGCGCCAAGAAAAAGCUAAUGAACUAGCUUGUCUGGUGCCAAACCCACCUGUUGACAUAAAAUGUUGUUGAUAAUGAACUAUACAUCGUCAUGUCAUUUGAGGCACUAACUACAUCAAUUACCUUUUUAAUCCUAAGUCACAAGCAGCAAUUGAAAAAUAUAAUUUAUCCUUUCAACAUUCGUGUGCUUCCUGUGGCAAUAGUCUGUGUUGCCCCGUCUGUUUUCAAGAGCAGAAUUAUCAAAAAUUCAAAAUUCAUCGUAACUAGAAUGCAAUUUCAAGUAGCAAAAUUUAUGAUUAAUUUCUAAAGGCAAACCUCCCUACUGUUUUUGAGAUUAUAUAUGCUUUUGUAUGAAUGAACGAAGAAACUUGACUUGUUUUUAGCUUUCUAAUUAAACGAAGGCAAAUAUUUGAGUUCCUAAAUCAUCGGCAUAUAUUUCUCUAACAUUUAAUUUUCAACAUUGUUUUCGAUGUUGUACCUACAACUCUUUUUAUAGGACCCUUGCACAUAUAAUUGGAAAUAUGAAUAGUUGUCUUGUUCCCAUGUUUAAACAUAGGAAUGUACUUGAUUGAAUUUGUUGAAAAAGAUAUAAAAAACUAAAAUCUAUUGUAAUUUAUUAGAACUUUCUAUAAAAGGUACCUAAUGUAAAUUUUUUUAAAUAAUUCUUUAAUUCAUUAGAAAAUAAAAAGGCAAAAAUUGAGAUGUACGUCAAUUUUUAGUUACUUACGAUAAUUUAUGCUAUUCAAAUUUUUUCACCAAAAAAAAAUUUACAUAUUUCCAAUCAUUACAUCUACAUCUAUAUCACCAUUUUUCCUUUAAUUAAUUUCUCCUGCCUUACUUAUUCUUUAAUCUUUAUAACUUUAUUUGACUCCUGCACGUCACAUAACAAUAAAUCAUUUUGGAUAGAGUAUUAUUUGAAAUAAUUAUUGUAGCACUUUUUAUGGUGUGAUAUAUGUGAGAUAAAAAGGUUGUUGGAAAUAUAAAAAGGUGGGUUGGGAAAUGUGUUUAUAAUGUAAGCGAAAUAUUAUUUGAAAUAAUUUUACUAUCCAAACAAGCCCAAUUCUUUUUUGUUUGCCUAUGUACAACAAUUCAAUCUUUAUAUAUAUAUAUAUAUAUAUAUAUAUAUAUAUAUAUAUAUAUAUUUAUACAUACUUCUUAAUCAAAACAUUUAAUUGAGAGUCAAAAUUAUAAGUAAAUGCGAAUGGUCUACGAACUCAUGUCACAAAAGAAAAUUCCACGGAGUGAGUAUUAUUUAUCGGAACACGGUAGUCAUUGUAAUACUACCAAACGACCAAUAAGAAGCCAGUAGUAAUAUUUUGUACAUAGAGUCGUUACACGAUAUUUCACUCAUGAAUUCAUUCACCCCUGAAGUUUCAAUAAUCAAUGGUUCACGGCAAUCAAUCAAUCAAUCCUAAGGGAGUAGUAGGAAUCAAAAGUAUGCAUUUACUAAUAGGAAUGAAUGAAUGAAUAAUCCUAAGGGAGUAGUGUUAUCCUAACCCAAUAUCCCUAAUACUACAAUCCAGUGACUAAUAUAAGAUGCUAAUAUUCAGCUUUCAUCCACUCAAAAAAUUUUCAAUAAUCAUUUAUUCAUUCGUUGAUGCUGUUAUUUAGAACACAAUAGUGAUAAAUAGUGCUAAGCCGUAACUAAUGUGAUGGAAAUUUCUCUACUAGUAGUAAUAGGAAUGACUAUUGGAAAGGUGCUUACCUAACCACAUUAAUUUAACACAUGCAAAGCUAAUACAUAACUCCUCCAAAUAGAUUUUGUGAUUAUUCAUUUAUGUAUUACGUUGAUAGGCAGAAGUUAAAAAAAAGUUUUUUUUUUAGGCUCUGAAACGCGUAAUGUCUUAAGUAGUUUAUAUAGUCCUCAGUCAUGAUAUCCUGCACGAUUGUGUUUGGAUUGUAUUUUUUUAGAUUUUUUGUAGAAAAAUUAUUGUAACGAUUUGAUAUAUGUGAAGUAAAAAGAUAAUAAAAAAAUAUGUUCACGGAAAACGUAGCAAUUUUUCUUUAAAAAACUGCUGUCCAAACAGGGCACAAUUUCCGACGGCAAGUCUUAGUCCAGAGCCCACUUGACUCAGCCCAGCCGCUACCUCCUCUUGAGUAAGUGCCUGUUUGGUAACAUAAAAAAGUGCUGAAAUUGAAUUCAUUCAGACAUUCAGAUGUUGUGGGUGUUUGAUAAAUAAAAAUUCACCUGCUGAACUUAUUAAGUGGUGUUGAAUUUGUAUGUAUUUUUUUCAGCACAAGAAUCGUAGCUGAAUGUUUAAUUUGAUAAGAGUCAAGAGAUUUACUUCAACUACUUUAUCAUUCUACCAAAUAUAUCCCUGUUUGUUAAUUACAUUCAAAAUCCUUAUUUAAUUAAACAACCUAAUAUUCCCUAUUCAAAAUCCUUAUUUAAUUAAACAAAACAACUUGAUAUUCUCUAUUCAAAAAUUUUUUUUAACAAUAAUAUUUUUUUGCAGUAAUUUUCAUCCACAAACAUUUAUAUUUUGAUAUUUUUUUUGUGCAAAUAAAUAUUAUUUAUGUGAUGCAGCUUAUCCACACACACAUGACUUUAUGACACCAUAUCGAAAUAUUAGAUAUUGGUUGUCUGAUUUUCGAAAUGGUUCUCGUCCAAGAUCAAAAGAAGAACGCUUUAAACCAAGCACAUGCAAGAUUGAGAAAUGUAAUUGAACGUGCUUUUGGAGUAUUAAAAGCUCGUUUUCCCAUUCUCAAAACGAUGAAACCAUACCCUUUUUCCCACACAAAGAAACAUUGUCAUUGUAUGCAUUGCUCUUCACAAUUAUUGUCAUUUUCAUACCUAACAAUUUUAAGUUAAUUAAAUCAUAGGUUCUAUUUCCUUUUUGGAUUAAAAGAUAGAAGGGCAAAAUUGUACAAUUUAGCUUAUUAAGCAUUAAGUUAUGAAUAUUUAUCAAACAGUAUAAAUAGAUUCAGCAUUAAGAUUCAGACAUUCAUAUAUCUCUUUUCAGUACUUAAAAUUCAGCAAAUUAAUUAUUUCAGUAUUCAGAAUUCAGAAUUCAGAAUUCAGAUUCAGUGUUAUCAAACGGAGCCUAAGUCUUAACUAGCAUUUUUUUUUUUUUGUGAAGGAGUCUUAACUAGCAUUUGAUGCAGGGCACAACAAAGUGAGGAUAACCAUUAAUUAAUUAAUAUUUAACGUACCAAGGACCGGACGGGUUGGUAUUCCGGAAAUCACUCAUGCUUUCUACCCAAAAAAAAACCACUCAUUCUUAGCCCUUAGGAACUGCUUGCUUGCUGGUACUAUUUCAAAUUCUUCAAUUUUCCCCGCGUACAUGAUACAACUGCUACGCAUUGUCAGAUUAAAGUCCGAGCAUAAUAAUUAGAAAUGAAAAGGAUAUGAGAAGGGGUGAGAGGUGUAAAAAAAAAGAAAAGAAAAGAAAAGAGUGUGGUGUCCCCAUCCAUGCUAACUUGCCCAAGAAAACUUUGAAGAAUUUCUAAUUAUCUACCAGAAGUUACAUGAUAAGAAAAUGCUAUCAUCGUUCCAAGUGAAGGAAACAAAGGCUUAGAUGGAGGAGGAUUUGAUGGUAAAGCAAGAGAAAUUAUGAGUAAAAAAUUUUAGAUUCGAAAUCUCCUACUUACUUACGGAAAAAGGAAAAAAAAACUUACGUGCAAAAUUGCAAUCAUAUUUAAAGCUGGGCGCUUCUUUCGUGAAAUAGACUUGCAUGAUAGGCCAGAACCGAUUAAAAGGUCAAUCACAUUAUUGUGAAUAAGAACAUCCGAAAAAAAAAGGGACAGAAAGAAGGGAAAGAAGAAGAUGCUGCAUUGAGGAAAACAAGAAGUGUGAUUUGUAUUUUUGAGCAGGAUAACAACUCUGACUUGCUAGUUUUGCAGGUUUAGGAUGAUUUGCUCUGCUUCUGCUUUGAAUAUCAGUGUAGGAUAGAUCAUAAAGCAGGAAACUCUGAACAGUGCGCCGACGGAUGAAAUUGGAAAGUUUUUACCUAGUAACUGCUCCGGGUCUAGUUUUAAGUUUCUUUUGUUGUGUUGUGUGUGAGAAUUUUAAAAAUUCAAAAGAAGGGAAAAAAUGAACUUCAAAAGAGGAAAAAUAUCGGUUUUUCAUCCCUAAAUUUUGAGUCAUGGGCAUAUUUCGUCCUCAAUCUUUUUGACAUAACACAUUUAGUAUUUGAACUAUCAAUUUUUAUCCUCCAAUGAAAAACUAAUUAGUAAUUUGAACGAAAAUUGGACACCUGAUGAAUUUGAAUCCGUUGACUGAAAAGCCUUGCAUAACUUAAAAUUAGCAAAAUAGGACAACUAGUUUUACUCUCCCAACUCCAAUUUCCAUUUAUAUUGAUUAAUUUCUUAUUUGAGGAUGAAAUUGGUAAAAAAUUGACAGUUCAGAUACUAAAUGUGUUAUGCAGGAAGUUUAAGAACAAAAUAUGUGAAUAUGUGCAUGACCGAAAAUUUAAGGACGAAAACUGGCAUUUUUCCUUCAAAAGAAGACAAAAUCCGCUCCACGUUUUCUUUUUCAACUGCUGUUCAAUUUUCUAAUUUUCUAGAGGAGUAUUAUUACAGCAGUUGUCGCGGUACCAGUAGCUAGAAUUAUAGAACUGUGCUCAUGCCACCAAACCAAACCACCUGAGUCCCACAAUGUCCAAAAACCACCAAUACCGCCGCCGCCUCGGCCUACCCCGGUUUUAACUCACUCCCAUUAGCUUAGAUCAAAUGUAACCCUGCAGAGCCUUGAGUCUUGACCACCCCCUACUGUUACUAUUUACAGUAGUGAAGCCUCUUUAAAUCUUUUUACUGCUUCGUAUAUUCGUAUUAUUUUAGCCCCUUUCCCCCGAACGUUUUCCACACAACCAACUCCUUCCAAUUUACCGUGCCCCACCUAACAAAUCCUCCUCACCCAGAAGAAGUUUCACCCACAUAUUUUCACCGUCACCGUCAGAAGGAGUCGUCUCGCACAAGUCACUGCUGCCGCUUGGCGAUUUUACAAAAAUACCCUCCAGAUAAUCAUUUCCCCCCCUCCACCCACCACCCCGGGCUAUUACCUCCUCCUCCUCCUCCUCCGCAGCGGCGUCCGAGCCCCACGCUCCACGGCUAUCGGUCUCAUCCACGUUCAGCUCCCUAGCCAGCUUCCUCAACGCAACCCGAAAGCUUCCCAUGUCGACGCUCGCCAUGACCGUUGAGUCGGAGUCCGAGUACGACGACCCGCAAGACUCCUCGUUGCCGUUGAUGGUGACGUAGGCCGACGACGACUGAAAAAUCACCGGCGUCAUGUACGGGUCCUCGAUGAACCUCACCUUAACGUUAAACUGCUGCGCUGACGACGACGAAGCCUCCAAGGAGGAGGAGUCCAAGAGCUCCGAAAGCUCCGUGACAGUCUGGUCGUCGAAAGCGAGCCAGGCCAAUGAGGCCAUCACGUCGUCUUGAUCCUGGUCGCCGUCGCCCUCGGUUCUGAGCUUUUUCCGGACGACGUCGUAGUCACAUUCAGUCGUUUGUCUCUUUCCAGUUCCUUCUUCUUCUUCCAUUUUCUUCGCCAGGAGAGCAAAGGGGUGGUGGUUUUUAACUUUUUUUUGGGGGAGAAAGGGUGGACGCGAAAAAAAGAGAGAUUUUACUGGAGGAAUAAGGUAAGGAUGAAGAGGUGUCGGAAUUUCUCACAUUGUGAGUGGAGGCUGUGGGGUAAUGAAGACCACUGGGAUUGGGGAGGUGGGCUUAUAUAUAUAUAGAUUUCGGGUUUUUUUUUAUGUUUUUUGUGUUUGGGGGGGGGGGGGGGUUUGGAGCCUGUAGGCUGUGGGAAUGAAUGUAUAGUAGAUUGCAGGAGAAUGAAAAUGGAGGGAGGGGUGAGUGGUUUUGACUGAGUUGACGGUGCCACGCGAAGAAUGAGGGGAUUUGGGGUAGAGAGAUAGUGACGCGGGGAGUAGGUGAUGACGUGGAGGAACUCUACUAGACUACAACUGCUUAUUAGGCCCUUCGUUGAAUUGGAAGUUACAUACUUUGGUACUACUACUAAUGUGUGUGUGUGUGUGUGUGUGGCAGUGCAGGAUUGGGAGUGUGAGACUGGAGGGUGGAGGAGGUUAGGGAGGAAUCCAUUAUCCAUCUCUCCAUGCUAGGACCUGCUAACUAGUCUGGUACUACUAGUAAAUGAGGAACUGAGGAAGUAGUACUCCACUACUUUGCUUUGCUGCUAGUACAGACGAAGAUGGAAGUGAAGGGUGGAUGGAUGGAUUGAUGGUCAAAGGUGAUGAUUAAAAUCGGUUUGCUGAAAUUGGUAAAAUCAGUUACCGUACUGAAAUGAAACUGUGGAUGUGGAUGACGGAUGGUCAAAGGUGAUGAUUCAAAUUGGUUGGCUGGAGUCCGUUCUGGAAUUAUUUGUCAUCAAAAGAUUGGUUAUAUAUAUAUAUGGGUAAAAUACAUUAAACCCCUUGUGAUUUGGGUUAUUAUCAUAAAGCCUCCUCGUUGUUUAAAAACCCCCCAUAUAAAUUCUUUGUGCUUUGGACUUCUUUGGAAAAUGGAUGAAAAUCAUCCAAAUUGAUUGAAAGUGAAUUACACACGCUUGACAAGCGAGUGUGAUAACAAUACAUCAAGGGUAAUGUGGUAAUUUUACAUUUUUUUUCUUUUCUUUUUUUCCUUGUUCUUUCUUUGUUUUCUUUCUUCUGAACUAUCUGGAGUAGAAAAACAUAAGAAACAACUGAAGCAAAAUCAACACCAACCUUUGUUAAUCUUACUUUUCUUUUUUUCUUCUUUCCUUCCUCCUUCUUUUUCUUCCUUUUUUUUUUUCAUUUUUUCUCCUUUCCCUUCUGGUGCAACUACAAGUAGAAACCUAAAGCUCCAUUACCUUUGAUAAACCCUCUCAAAUCAGACUUGAAUUUCUCUCACCAACUCAAAAUCUCCCUUAAACAUACAAUUCAUUCGAUUUUUUAAACCAGAGACACCACCAUCUCAUAGCCUUCAGGUGAUCCCUUUCCCCUUCGUUCUCAUCCACCGCCACCAUCAAUUCGCUUCGCCGCUGUUGCCAUCGGCACUACUGCUUAGAUUUCCUGGUAUAGGUCACAUUGCCAAGUCCGUCAAUGACUACAAGGCCAGUCUAGAUCUCAUUUCGAUAGAUAAUCUGCCUAAGCCACUCGCCAUUGCAGACGUCUCUCCAACUCCGAUGCAUGGCUUGAAGCUCCAUAUUGCCCAUCAAGGUGUUCCCGGAGCUUUCAGCGAAGCCACUGUCGGCAAAGUUUAUAUGAACAUGCGAAGUGGGUUAUCGGGGGUAAUUCUUAAUGUGUAGACAUUUUUGAUCUAGUGAUUUUUGUGAAGAAAUUUUGUGGGUUUUAGUUGAAUUUUGAUUUCUCAUUGCCUAAAUCUAAUACAAGUUGACUUUAAUUUGAGCGGUUUCUAUUUAAUUUAGUAUUGAGAUUCUUGGCGUUGAUAUUAAUUUGAUUUGAUCCAUUUCAGUAUGAAGGAAGAAAAGAAAAGGAAAAGGAAGAAAAAUGCAAAAAAAAAAAGAGGUAUGGUAUAAAUGAUUGAUAGUUGAACCUAGAGAUGAUGACAAUGGAAAGGACAUCAGUGUUUGCAGCAUGAAAGGCAGGUUGAACCUAAAUUAACUAUUGGUACAUUUUGAAAACGGGGUUAGCAUUGGAAUUUAACGUCUUUCCGUCAAUUUGGAUGAUUUACAUCCAUUUUCCAAAAAAGUCCAAAGCACAAGGAGUUUAUAUGAGGGUUUUUAAAUAAUGAGGAGGUUUUAUGACAAUAAUCCAAACCACAAGGGGGUUUAAUGUAUUUUACCCUAUAUAUAUAUAUAUACACACACACACAUAUAUAUAAGCUGAGAUGUGAGUCGACCAGGGGCCUUUUCCGGCCGGGGAAGGUAAAGCAAAACGUUCUUUUAGCAGUCUGGCUUUUUAUCCGGAGAAACUCCACCUACCAACUGCCAAGCGGUAGUAAAUUCUUUUUUUAAAAAUGGUAGUAGUACUACCUUCUAGCAGUGUACAAUUGAAUUCGGGCGUCAGUCUCCCCCUUUUGUCCUUUUUAUCCACGCCACCUCUGAGCUCUCUAGCCAGAGUCUGGUACUACGUACUACCACUACUACUACUCCGACCAAAGAAUGCUGCUGCCAAGUCGGACUCAAGAGGUGUUUCUUGCAAUGCAAUAAUGUAGGGUGUAGAUGAUGGGUCUUCUCCUGCAGUUCUCUAGUUUAUGUAAUCUUAUCUUUGUGAGUUUAGUGGGUCUUUCGUAUUACCUCUAAAAUAUAGUUGAGUUCUUAUCUCUGCUUAAAAUAGGAUACCAUAAAGCGCAACGUUUACCAUUUGUAUUUCACCUCAAAAAAAAUAAAAUAAAUUUAAGCGUCCUUAAUUUCAUCAUAGAAUAUUUUAUUGGUUAAAUGCACGACGUCGUGCUCGUAAAGAAAAAGAAAAUUGGACCGUGUUGCUUGAUUUUGAAAUGGCAUCGUGAAGUUAAACUGUCCAAUUUCGGAGUAACACCAAAGCGUAUUGAACCGUAUACAAAUUUGUGACCAGAUUUUUCUGUCCCUUUUCAGUUUCCGGCGAUGCUUUUCACUCCAAGGUGCUCAUUUGGAGCUGACCAUAUGAGAGGGGGGGGGGGGGGUAAAACGUAGCAAUUCAAUAAAGAAAUUGAAGAGGGAGGAAAAGUAAAUAUUUUUUAUCCUGCUACUGCUCGGACUGUGUAAUUAUAUGCUUCAAUAUCUUCAGGGAAACCUUAAUAUAUCUUGCACGACGUAAAGGUCAAACUACGUGUGUGUAUGCGAUCUAAAAACUUCAGAAAGUAGAAUCAAUGAAUAUAAUUUUGGCCGAAAUUGCUAGAUGUGCUCUUUUUUUCCGGAUACAGAAACAAACACACACACUGAAUUAGACUAAGCACGACAGUUAACGGAUAAACCGACCGAUAAACAAGCCAUCUAAAGGGGACUCAUAGAGCAACUCGAUCCAGCCAAUUGAUUGCUAGAUGUGCUCUCGAUACAUAGAUUUUCUAGUAAUUUUUUAUCGAAAGGCGAUUGUAUAAAGUCGGUAUAGGCUGUUCCUUUUUGGGCCAUAUAUCCCCACCCAAACGAAACAAAGAUUAAAAGUGUGAAAAAUUGACCUAAUUGUGAAGCACGUAAAUAUCAUCAUUUAAGGAAACUCAUUAUUACGGUAUAAAUAAAGCACAUAUUCAACAAGACUAAAGAGACUGGCUACCUUACCUAGCUGGUGGGUUGCUCGCCGUUGUCGAACUUGAGUUGGCACGGUGUGCAACUUUGAACAGCAGUUGAACUCCACCUGCGCAGGAAUCUAGUUAAUCCAAAUUUCCGAAGAUCAGCUCCUUGAACUACCACUCCUACACAAUGCCACCAAACCAAACCACAGCACCUACCACCACAUCUUCCAUCCAAAUUUUAUCUCAUCAGCCGGCCGAAUUCCAUGCUCCAACAAUCCUCAGAACCUUCUCUCAGCCUAUUGGUUGUUCUUCAGUAAAUUAUCUUCAUUGUUAUUGUUGAAUCCAAUAUUCAUUAUCCGCUUCACCUGAAAAUUUCCCAACCACUUCUAUGGAAACAAUUGAGCAUUAAAAUAUAAAUUUCCUUGUCAAACACCGUAGGCCUCAGCUGCUCGCACCCGUAAUUCACCAGCAUUCAAUAAUUAGUAUCAACGGCAGAGAAUGUUGGACCCAUGAUUGGUAAAAUACCGAAUCACAUAUGCAGAUCCUACAGAAUUGUAAACUGGCAGAAUCAAGUCGGAACACAAAUUCCACAGUUCUAAAUGCUAGAAUAUACUACCGGCUAUUCCAGUUCCUCUACCAAGGAAAACAAAAAGAAAAUACCCCCGGAGUACAAUGCUAGAUACAGAAACAGUUUUUAACAAGAAGUUCAGCAGCUCAAUGAACCAUUAACUCUCUCAAGCCUUGGAAGUGCACUCGAUUACAUGAUCUUUGAAAUGUUGGAGCUCAGCUAAAACCUCAUCCUCAGGCCUGUAUAAUAAGUCAGUCAUGCGCCAUAUCUGCAAAUUACAACCACCAGAUGCAAAAUCAAGGGAAAACCGUCAAGAGGGAUCAAAGCCAGUAGAAUGCUACAUCUGCCAAGAAUACCACCACCCCCAUAAAAGAAGAAAACAUCUCAUACCUGUAACGUGCCCCCACCACCGCUACUUUCACCAUCAUCAGAAACACUGACAACCGUCCAUGGAUCAGAGGCAUUCCAGUGAAAGUCGACAACUUUGUCCCUGGAGAACAUAUAGAGAACAUUUUCACUAUCAAAAGAUCUUAACAUUGUCUAUAGGCCAACAAGCAUCCAGAUAAGAGAAAUAUGUUUGCCAUUAGUACUGAAAUUACGACUGAGCCAGUAAGGAUGCAAAUCAAAUGCUUUUUAAUCGUUUAGACUAGAUAGAAACGAAAACCAAUAGUAAGUUUUUAAUUGUGUUUUUCUAAGAAUAAUUCACCAUGGUCCAUUGUUGAUGGCACACAAAUAUUUUGAUUUGACACAGCCAGAGGCAGAUGGCAAGAACAGAAUAUCUCAAGUUAAGCAGCCAGAAGUAAAGAUGAUUUCUGCAAGUCCAAAAUAUAACUUAAAUAUCAUUUAGAUAUCACAAUACUUUUAACAAACAAAUGAGUCAACCCGUGCAGGUGAACCACACAUGGAUUGAAUAGACUAGGUCAGCCACCAAUAAUUUACUGCAUAGUGCUAACUAACCUGUGCCCAGCAUGUUGGAAAAAUAACCCAGGAGGACUACUUGGAGACCUUGUCCCGCUUUCUAUCUUUUUGCCAACCUACAGGACAAGCAAGGAAAGAAAUUAGUCUCAUAGAAAUCAGAUGGUAUAUAUGAGAUGUACAUAUAGUCAGUUCGCAGGCUGAUGUGAGAAGCUGAUUACAAUCUUACACAUUCGCAUUCAGAUAUAUUGACAUAUGACAGCAAUUGAAAAUUUUCCUAUCAUAGAAUAUGAUUUGUGAGAAAUUUCUUAACCAUAGCCCUCUGUAGAAGAGUUGACAGCAAGCCCAUAAAUAACGAGAGCGCAAGAGAGGGGGGGGGGUCGCAGAGAGAGAGAGGCUUCAACACCUUUUCAUAAUCCCAGAUGUUCAAUAAACCAUCCUCUGCAGAGCUCCCAAAGACAGUGGACUUGUCAGGAGACCACUGGAAUAGAAAAUAAUUGCUUGGUUAUCAGAAGUAUUCAAUAGAUACAUAUAAAUCGAAAGAUUCAAGAACAAAAUGAUCACCUGAACACAAAGAACAGCAGCUGUAUGACCUUCAAAUUUAUGCACUAGUGACUCGACUCCAUCAGUUGUUAGUUUCCGGCGAUCAAACAAGCGAACAGAGUGAUCUGCAGACCUGAAAUAACAGCAUGACUCAACAAAGCUUCUAAACCUUUUUUGCAAAUCAAGUUGCAGAGAUCUGAACAAAUUAUGUUUGGAGUUUCACGCAUACAGAAUUCCUCACAAAUGUUUUUGGCAUUUGCAUUCCAAUAUCCAUUUGUACCUUUUACCUCAAUCAAAUGACAACACACCCAUAUCAUCCUGGUAAAGCCCUCCUACCAGACCUCCAUAUGACACUUAACAUUUUUGUCUUUAACAAAUUUCCCUUUGGGGUACUCAAGCUUUCAUGUACUCUAUCCUAUUUACUUGCCUCCACUUAUCCUUUGAUCUCGACUUCUAGCCAUGUACAUGACAUACAACAAUCUCAGAGACCAUCCGCAGUCAAAAUCAUUAGAUUUAAACGUGAACUGGUUAUUCUGCUUGUACAAGAAGCCCUCACAACAGCAGAAGUCAUUUGAAGAUUGACGUUGUCUAAUGAAUCAGAUAAUUCCAAGUAUACUCUUCCUUUCCUUCCCAUAGUACUCUAACGCUACUAUCCUUGCGAAUUUAACUGAAGGCUAAAAGAGAUUUUUGCAUUAUAGAUCCAAAAAAAGGUGGAAACCUGGGUCACAUCACUUGAGUAAUUUGGUGACACUAAUAUGGGAACAAUUAAUAGAUAAAAGACUCUUCUGCAGACAAAUCUCAAACAUCUAUCUAAUUCUGCCUAUCAACAUUAGAUUACAGACUAUGAUUAGGGAAGGAAGUUAAUUUCAUUCAAGAAAGAAAAGGGGCAAGAAGUUUCAAAUCUACAAUUUAACAAUUGAUAAUAUUCUGUGUGGACCUUUUCAAGUACCAUAGGCAAUACUUAGUUUGGGAAAACCACGACAAAUACAGAUAGAGAAACACAAUUAAGUUGCAUCUUCGAGAACCAACAAUCCUGGAUCAAUCAGGUUGAAAGAGUUGAAAGCAGAAAGGAAGCAGAAUCUGCUACACCAACAAGCUGAUACAACUGAACUUCUUUUAGAUUUAACAAUUCAUAAAAAACUAGUAAUAGCUUGAAGCACUACAGUGUGGAAACGAGGAAACUUGUAGAAACAAACCACAUAUCCACAAGCAAUAUGAAUAUGGACUGUGAGAAGCUACAGUUGGAUAGCAUCAGCAGCCAUAUCUUUAACAACAUGAUGACACUCAAAACAGUUUUAACGUCAAUAGAAAGAAAUCCCUGACGCUUUACAGUUACAAGCAUACCCAGUGAGAAUCAGGUUUUGAUCAUGAGGAUUCCAAUCCACACAGUGGAGAUCAGCAUUAUGUGCCUUUUCAACCUAUUCGAGCAGUGAAAAAGGAACUCCAGAUUAAUCCAAACAAUAAGUUUGUACAACACUAAUAAGGAACUUAUAUUGAAAACUAAGAAACAAGAGUGAUAAAAUAAUCCAACAAUAAAUUUGUAUAGCACUACUGAGAUAUUUAUGCUGAAAAUGAGGAUAACAUGCGCCAAAAAUUGCUAUAACGAAACAUUAGCCAGUCAAGGCCAACACCUAACACAUACAACAACACAUUCCUCACAGCAUGGAACCAAUUAUGCAGUUUGGAGUAACAACUCGAACACCUUAAAUCUGUAAAACCUAUGUUCUUUUAACCCAAAUAAGCAUAAAAAAUAAUUUAAAUGUCAGAAUUCUGUACAAAUCUAAAUAACACAUACUUGAAACAGAAAGGAGGCCCCAAGUAUAAGGCCAUCAAGGAAACACCACCUCACCUUCAAAAUUGGGUUAUUUCCAACACGUGCAUCCCAUAAUAUUAGGCAAGAAUCAUCCCCAACACUACAGAACUCCUGUGAACUGCAUAAAAUUUCUAGGAUUAUUAAUUUCAAAUGGCCGCACAAAAGGCUCAACGAAAAUAACUUAAUCAGGGGGGAAAAAAAUCAAAGAUGGUAUCCAAGUUCCCAAGUUCAUUUCAUGGAACCAUUUUCAGCAAAAGGUCCAGGAGAUCAGGUCCAAACAUCACUACUAAAAUCCAGAAGCAUAUUGUUUCAAGGCAGUAAAAGAUGGUCCAGAUACAUUCAAAAAGGAUUACAGCGUAACUCAAGGAAAGUAUACCAGAGAACACCAGCUGAGAUCAAAAGGACCUUCCUUACUAAAAAAGGAUCAGAAAUACUGCCUAGAUUCAGCCUAAUGUUUGUUUCCCUUCACAAAAGUUGGGUCCAUGGAAAUCUAAUCUUCGUAGUAGGUUGGACCAACAUCAAUCAUUAGCAACAUGGAUAAAUCACGAAAACCUUGUCAAUUUUCUUUCUGUUUAAAUCACCAAAUAAAUUUACAAUAGCCGAAAAAGUAACCUUGAUGGGCAAAACUGCACAUCUUCAACAGUGUCAUCAUGCCCCUGAAAAAUACCACGUGGUCCAACAGGACUAUUAUCAGCAGUUUUCACAAUUGACCCAGUAGAACCAGUUGCCUUUGAUGCAUCUGCGGCCGAUGCAGAUAUGUGGUCAUGGAUACUCCAGAGAACCACAGAUUUGUCCUUUCCUGUUGAAAAGGUCCAUCAGCUAAAUAUUCUCAAAAAUAUGAACUAAAGAUCUAUCUAAUAAAACACAUCACAAAAAAAAUCAACAGAAGUUCAAAGUUCAUUCAAGAGAACAGCAUGAAACCAAGACAUCAUUUGAGCAUGACAUUAAAAGAACAUCACACAAUUAUAUUAUCUGAUGGCGCACUCAUAAGAUUUGCUUAACCUCUUUUUUCUGCAUUAUUCCUUUUCUAUCCACCCCUCUGUCAGAGUGUUGAUGUUGGGGGUGCUGGAGGAGGGGUUAAACCACCAGCAGGCUUUCCCUUGGGCAGUGAUGCAGUAAUCACUUUGAUGAAUGAAAGGAAACAUUUACAGAAUAUGAUCACAAGUAGUAGUAGUAAUAAUAAUAAUAAUAAUAAUGCAACUUUAUAAACAGGAAAUAUCAAAAACAGAAUUACUUUGAAAACUGCAACCACUUGAACAAUAACUAAUUUCAAAAAAUGACAGGAAAAAACCACGGUAGCAUCAUUCCAACCUCCAGAGAGCACAAAAGGCUCAGUUGGGCACAUUGCAAGAGCAAAUUCAGCAUUAUCUUUGUGCCCCAUCAGCACCUGCAAAAUGAAAGAAGGUUAUCUUGGAUUUUUAUAAAAGAGCAUGUUGCUGCAGUUACAAAGUCCACAAAACAUAUUGUAGAAUUUUCAUGAGAAUCCCAGAGAAACAAACAGUUAUUGAUUAAGUUCUUAGAAGAAAGGUACUUCCUUCCCAACAGAUGAAGCUAAAAACGAAGGAGAAAAAGAAGAAAGAAAGACAGGAGAACUAUACUUGGAAUACACUGACAGCAAAAUUUAUUGUUUCAUUGUAGUUACCAGCCUGUACCGAUUACUGCUUGGUCCUGUUCAUUUUCUUUUCCUUUUUUUUUUUUAAAGUCAACUUUAGCCAGAACAUGAAAACUUCAAUUAAACCACCCAAUAUUAUUGGACACCUUACACAUUUGUAAGUGAUUUGAAAGCAAGAGAAGAAAAGUACACAACAAGCCAAUGAAACAGAAUGGUCUUUGAACCAAAUCCCAAUUCCAUGACUACAAGAAUCUGACCACCAAGCACAUAGUUAACAACAAAGGGAAUAAUAACUGCAACACAAAGUGGUUAAUUGUACAGAACAGUAUAGCAACUGAUGAUAUUUUUCAGUUCUACAUUUAGAGUUGAGCAGGAUGCGACACGUGCAGGACCAAGCAGUCAUCAGUCACUUGCACAACAAAAGAAACAAAGAAACAAAGGACAAAUGAAACAAUGGAUCAAUAUGAAUUACCAAAACUAAUUUUUAGGGCAAUGCAAGAGAAUGCUUACCAGAUCAGGACGAGACUCAGCAGCUCCUAGAACAGCAUGCCUGUUCGGUUGAGCUUCAAUGUCCCAAAUGAGGACCUAAUUUGGAAGCCAUUAAACUAUGUUAAAAGAUUCUCAUAUUCUCCAGAAACGAGCAUAACAUCAGUGAGCCACUUACUUCAGGGCAAUCAGUAUGCGUCGCAACAAUGUUUUUAUUCUGAGGAAGUUCCCUGAUUCUGUUUACCUGCAAUAUGAUUGUAUAUUACCAGACUAUAAGCAAAAUUCCCCCGGACCAUGAACCAGUGAAUAUAAGAAAUCUUGAAAUAUGUAAUCAAGAUUUAUAGAGAUUAUCCGGAUAAGCAGCAAGAACACCAAACCAAAAUGCAAUGGACACAAAUUAAGCAAUACAUCGGAUCAUCCAGGAAUUCCAAACAGUGAUGCUAGGAUUAAAAUUCAAAUUUCACUGAUGCCAGUUAGUCACUUUUUGUGGCAUCAUAACAUUCAGCAGUAUGCUUGCAGGUAAUACAAGUAACAUGUGGAACUGAAAAUGUUACUUGACAAUACCUCUCCAGGAUGUAUGAUAGUCUUGUACUUCUUAACAAAUGGUGACCUUGCUUCUUCAUUAAACUAUCAACCAACCAAUAACAAAAUCAGCAUAAUUUGUUGCAAGCCACAACUAAAAUAAAAGAUAAACAUGCUAACAUAGAUUAGGAUUACAUUUGCUAUGUGAUUUUCAGCAGCAACCCGAGGCUUGACAACAUCGCAGUUCGCUAUGAUCAGUGUAUUUGGUACUGUAUGAUCAGUCUGUUGGGUGAAAAAAAAGGAUCAACAUGAGCAAAUAUCGGUAGAAUCACAUAUUCUAAAUCAAGCAACAACCAUCCUCUCUGUAAGCCUGAGGUUGAGUGUGUGUUUUUCUGAGACAGCAGCCAAAUCAAACUCUAAUAAUAACAAGCCAAUAACUAAUAAAUAAUAACAAAAGCACUGAACAUCUCCAUUAAACAACAAAAUUCUACCUAUGGUGUAUCUCAUCAUUUGUGAAAGAUAUGUAAAACCAAAUAAAUAAAAAUUAAUGACAAAGAAUAUCUAGUUAUUAACAAGUAAUACAUCAACAUCACAGCUUCAAAUAUCCAAAUCAUUAAAGAGCGGCACACAACAACAUUUAACAAAAAAGAAAAAAGGCAUAGAACACCAUACAUAACCAGAAAGCAGAAAAUGGAAAACCGUUAAAAAUUAUCUGAAGAAGCAUAAAGGAACAGCACAGAUACUAACUUAAAUUCAAAAAACCUUGAAAUGCAAAGCAAGAAAGAAAAGAAAAGAAGAAGAAGAAGAAGAAGAAGAAGAAAAACGUAUAAUAGCUCCAUGAGAAGUUUGAAGAACUCAAGUGACUUUUGUUUGUGGAACAAAUCCUAAGGACUGAUUUGCAACAUACUAGAUAUGAAAGUGAUUUUUCACUUCAUAUAUUUCAGGUAAGCAUUCUGUAGAUACAUACUUGUUCAGAAAGGUAAAGACGCUGCCGAUUCUUGAAGGCUCCCUGCUCAAGCAGUGGGCCCCACCUGCUCACAAAGGAAAAUGCAGGGCACGCACGGGCGCAUUAUCAACAAACAAGUUGGGAGCACUCUAGGAGUCACGAAAUAUUCAAAAUGCCAAGGCCAAAUGCAUGUUGAUCAGACAAAAAAAAAAUGCAAUAUCACAUUUAAACGUGCAGAACCAAAGAUGCUCCUCACAAGAACAAGAAGCGAUGACCAAACAAUAAUCCUCCUGCUAAAAUGUAAGACAAACUAUAGCUCCAAACAUCACAAUAAGCUUCACUCCCUUUCGCAAGUAUGAGAUGUGAAACACACAACCACGCCAAUUAGAUCCUUCCUACAUCUACAAUUCAAGCAUCUGCAACUGCUACGGUUGGUGAACAAUAAUGCUAAAGGCUAGAUAAUGGAUUCAUACUCCCCCCCCCCUUUGAAAAUAUCAGCUGAAGAAAAAAAAAAUGCAGGUUUCCCAGCGCGAAUCUGGGAGCGUAAUAUCACAUUUCACAGUAAAAGCCAAGAGUGCACUCUGUCAUCUUCCACAAACAAAUGUAAAACCCUAACCCUCGGAAAAACCCUAGGGCCCCCCACAAAAAAAAAGAAAAAGAAAAGAAGAAAGCAAGGGACGCGGCAAAAGAACGCACCGACAAGAGAGAGAAGGCCAGACGAGGUUAUGAUUAGCCAACCAGUCGUAGAGAACGGGGACGAGAGAUUUCCACUGAGAAUACUUCUCGUCAGAAGAGGAGCUGCGCUUGUCGGCGCCUCUCAUCCUGGGGACUCCACCAGAAGCAGCAGCGGAGGCUUCUCUGUCGGUGUCGGCUUUGGCUUUAGUAGAGCCCUUAGGUCGACCUCUCUUCUUCGGCUGGCUCGGCGGAGGAGAAACCGUCUCCAUUGGCGAAGUGAGGUUUUUCUAAGUUAAUACUACCAGUACUACUUAAUAAUUAUUUCCAAAAAAAAAAAAAUCUUUGGGAAAAAAAAAACGGUGUCUCUUUUUCUCUCACUCCCCCCUCUCAGUCAAUCAGGGUAGUGAAGUGAUGGAGUCGGACCUACAGAGUAAAGGUGUAAUCUCCCAUCCCGUAAGCUGUAAAUUAAUUCUAUAUGUCUGGAAUCUUUGGGAAAAAAUCUUUGGGGAAAAAAAAAACCGCGCUUCUUUUCUGUCACUGAUCUGGAUGGAUGGUGUAGAAGACGGUAGAGAGUAGUCAGUCGAGUAGAGAGUAGAGUAAAAGCUCUGCAGCGUCCUUUUGGGCCGGAACGCCCCACUACCAGUCACUAGUCCGAACGUAGCAUCAGCGCGUUAGGCCCGGAGCAAAACCCGCCGCAUUAACACUUCAUCUGCAGCGCCUACCCAUUUGUAUGAUUUUCUUUUUCCUCUUUUUUUUUGGUUUAAACCUAUUGGUAGUAUUAGUAGUAUUCUUUACCUUUUUGUUCUUCCUCUUUUUCUUUUUCUCAUCUUCUGAAAGUUUGUGCUUCUAAUUUAAUUCAUAGGUGUAGACUGAAUUCCGAUUUAAUUCAUAGGUGGAUUUGGGCCUAGAAUAGAUUCUAUUUUUUUGAGAGUUUACAAAAAAUAUAUAUAUAGAAUAAUUGAAGACUCAUAAUUAUGAUACGUUUAUAUUUUUCAAUGAUUUGGUUAAUCCAAACAAAAUAAUUACCUCAAAGUGGUUUGCAUAAUAUCUUCAAUUUAUAAUUAAAACUGCAACUCUGUACAGAGUUAAUUCCACCAAAAAAAAAAAAAAACAGAAAAGAAAACAACGAAAACUCAGCACCAAAGAUGUUACCCAUUGGGUUGAAAUUAGAGCAUAUCCAUGCAAUGCAAUUACCACUUCUACAACGGUCGCUUCGACCAUUACUACUUCCAAUUAACCAAUCCAAACUUCGGGCUAUCGACCACCAAGUCCUUAAAAUUUGGUUAACAUUUGGUGAAAUGGGAGGUCAGGUUCAAAUCUUGCUUCAUAUUAAUUGUCACAAUACGUGACCCCUCUAGAAAAAAAAAAUCAAGACGAAUGCAAUUCAAUGAUAAUUUAAUUCCCAUCAAUUUUCCGUAAGGCUAGUUGGACCACCUUUUUUAAAUUAAGACAGAAUAUGAUAAUAUAAAUAAAAUGAUGAUGACAAAAAAAAAAAUUUAAGUGAUCCAAUCUUCAAUGCAACCUUUUCUGUCGCGUUGGAGGGGAAGAUCCAAUAUCAUACAACAGCUUCAAGUUUUUCCUCAAUAGAUCGGUGUUCCAGGACAUAAUCAUUCCCACAACUCCAAAACAAAGGAAAAAAAAUUAAUUUGGAGUUUCUCAUCCACAUUCUGGAAUGUCGAACAAAACUAAAAUAGUGAAAUUAAUCCCUAACCAGGUUAUACGAAUUCCCUUUUAACUGAGAAAGUACAAGUUUCAACAAUGUCACAAAAACAUUAUCGUCCAACUAGCUCAUUUGGUUUAACAAAAUUUUAAGCCAUCUAACAUAAAGAAAUCAAACAUAAAUCCCACAAGCAAGUAGCAAGAACAACGAUCCAAAACCCUGCAACAUAUGAAGGGAAUUUUAUUAGAGACAUAGAAGACAUGAAAGUUAAAAGUGAAAAUACAAGUUUAAUGGAUCUCGAUCGUACCAAGAAGACAGAUGCCACUGCCCCAGUAGUGAGCUCCUUAGCAAGACUACGAUUCUUCUUUGAAGAGGUAGCUUCAUAACUGCAUAGACGUUCACAACUUGUUAUAGAAAAAAAAAAAAAAAGAGGAGGAGCAGACAUGUGACCCGUGGAGAUUUAGAAAGAUCUAAUCUAAAAGGUGCAGAAUUGCAAAAACGAACCCAAAUAAAAAUAUAUCAAAUGCCUGGUAAAGAUGUCUACAAAGAUGUCUACAACGUUCAUAUUGCAGCCAUCCACUUAGCUUUAAUCAUUUGUGACUCAUAGUAUCAACCCAAUCACAAAGGAAGUUAGCCCAUACACAACAUUAAGGAAUUGUUGAAUUGUCAUGGAAAUUUUCCAAGAAAGAAGUUUCAGAAAUAAAUUACAUAUUAUUAACAACAUUGAUAUAAGUAAUGAAGCUAGAUUUCAUCCUUGGUGGCUCAACAGAAAUUUCAGCUGCAAGACAUGCAUUUACAGCAAGGUGGUGCCAAAAAUAGCACAUUACUAGUGUAGAUGGUUUUCUAGAAUUAGGGAGGAGCAAAGCAUUAACUAAGUUCUGAUUUAAGCUAAGACUGCAAGAUCCCAAAAAUAGAACAAACUUUACCGGCAACUAAUGAUGUGUACUUUUGAUUAUGGCUGUUGUCUACCAUGAGAUCCAGAUUUCAAUCUGGGCAUAUAACAAGCAGCAACUGUGCAUUACUUUUCUCAGAUAGCAACAAGCAAGGGGAUACAAACUUACAUUUGGCAAUGUAAUUGAGAGGAAAACAUGAACUGCCAGCCACGGAAGAAAUUGUAAAACAAAGACACAAGCCACUUAAUGUAUCCAAAGAGCAAUUCCAGUAGUAAGAUAAACUAAGAUCCUUUCGAUAGCCAUAACAUCUCAUUUAAAUGAGAAUCACAACGGCAGCAGAGGAAUGAAAAGUCUAGUAUACUCUGGGGCUUUCUCAAUUUGUAACCUCUCAACUUUGUUCCACCCACAUUUACUCUACAAAGAAACUGCGAAAAUAGUCUGUUUUCACAAAAAACACUUAAAACAACUCAUGAUACCAUACUCCAAUUAUCAAAUGCAAAAACAAAAGAACCAAUAAAACAUGUAGAAACGAGCACAAUCUAAUUUGUUUGUUCCACUGGCACGAGGUAAUGAGCAUACUGAAAAUGAUUUCUUUUUUCCGGGGGAAAGGAGGCGCUGGCAGCUAGAAACCCAGGUUUCCAUCACAUAACAUCAACACAUACAAUCUACGGGGUUCAUUCACCUAUAAGAGAUCAAAUUAAAACAAAAAAGAAAAAUAUGCAACCAUCAAAAACAAGAAAUUAACAGGACAUGUCGACCGAUUAAGAUUAUUAGGUUAUUCAAAUUAGCAGAAAAAAAAAAAGAAAUUUAAUCUCAGUAACCUACCCCCCCCCCUAAAAAAAACCAAAAAAAAAAGCCGCGGAAAAGCAAAAAAGAAUGACCAAUCUACCUGAUAGAUUAUAGAUAAAUGCAAAUCAAACACCAAUCAGAGAGCAUACCCAAAAUUCACUUGAGAUAGCACUGUUGAGGUGCAGUAAAGAGUUCUACAAAAGUCAACUAAAAACUUACAUGAAAAAGGACGCAGCGACGAUCAGGCCAACGGCGAGCAUUAGGACGGCCAGGGUUGGGUACCACGGCUCCGGGACUGGGCUCGAGAUCGGCUUCACUGAUUGAGCCUUUUUUCCCAAAACAAAAAUUUAUCACAAAAUAAAAUAAAACGAAAUUAGAAAUAAAUUCCCUAAAAAUCUGAUAAAUGUAGAUUUUGAUUUGUGCAAGAGAGAGAGAGAGAGAGAGUGCAAGAGGAAGAAUUAGAUAGUACCAUCUUCUUUAACUGGAGGAGUAAGGCGAUGGGAUCUUCUGCUUCUUCUUGCCUUUGAGCGCCAGACGGAUGGAAGACCCUGAGAGUAAUGAAGACUUUGCGUCUGGGUUUACGAGCAUUAAGACAGAUGUAUUCUGAGCCGCGUGAUAUAUUUCGGCCGUCCAAAAUAUGAGCCUCCUAAAUAUAUAUCUAUAUAUUUUUUGAGAUCAUUUAAACAUUUUGAUCAGAAUACUAAUUUAGGCAAAUACUAUUGGUGCUCUUGAAAAGCCUCAUGCGGCCAGAUUAUGAUACAAUGGAGGAAACAACCUCCUCUUAGUUUCUUUCUUUUUUACUAUUGCCUCAAGUUUUUGGAGGUAAUUUAUGUUUUUAUUUUCAUUUCUUUUCUAAUUUGUGAACAACUAAAAAUUUGAAUUUAUUCUAUAUAUCGCAAGAUAAAAUUUUUAUUAAAUUUGUAGGAAUAAUUGGAAUCGGAGAUUAUCUCUACAAUAGUUGGAUGCAUUUAACGCUAAACUAAGGCUUUGUCUGGAUUGCAUUUUUCUAAAUUUUUUUGUAAAAAAAUUAACGGAGGAAUAAGACGCACUAGGCAAGCAAGUCACGUGCGAUAGACAUUUGUGCUGGAUCGCAGCCUGCCAACCAGGCAGAAAGAUAAGACGCUUAGGGGAUAAAACACAUUAGGUAAGUCCCGUGCAACUGGCGGAUGUCCUGGGAGGUAGGUUCGAGUGCAGUCCUAGAGGUUCGAACCCAGUUGCCCGGACUGAUGUAGAUUUAUGGAGGGUAACUGUUUUAGGUUUGACUUGAAUGGGAUGGAUGAUCCACUGACCACAACCGUGGGAUGGGUUGAGCUCAGUUUAGCAGAUUGUGAGAUCAGUUCUUGUGGUAUCUAUUUUGCCCUUAUGAAUUCAUUGCUUCAUCACCGGUUUUCCUGUCAUCUAGCAGACAAUCAUUUGCUUCAUCCAAAAAGUAAACCACCAGCAUAUGCAUUUCCCAACAUGGGAUACAAACUAUUCUGUACAAUUAACGUGCAGAUUAACCUUUCAUCGCAGAACAGUCUUCUGAUGAUCCAAAAAUGGCAGAAAUUCGGGGGCGUUUCUCUGCAAAAUAGUGCACCGUAAAACAAUAGGCAUCAUCAUACUGCAAUGCUCACUCCACAAGAAAAUCUAUUUCGCCGUUUCAAGUAUUUUGUCGAAAUUCAGAUACAUGUCACCGCUCAUUUCAAUUACAUUUACAUUUGAUGGUGCGCAGGAGUUCCGACACAACCAUCCAUUGUCGAAGAAACAAAAAAAAUGUAUUCUUCCCUCGUCUCCUUUAUUUUGGGCAACUGAUGAAGUUAUCCAAGCAAUUCACUAAACGGAUCCUUACUGACUGAUCAUCUUGUACUGCGUCUAAUUAUCUGAUAUCCUGUACACAACUUCUCAAAUAAUUGUUGCAGAUGAAUUUUGUCCAUCGCAACAGAAAAUAAUUGUCACCGAGAUCCACGCCAUGACUUGAACAUCAAACCAUGCUCGCUCACCGUACCCCCAGAUAAUCGCCUCAUCUUUUGCCAUAGCUGCCUUGCUUUUCCUAAUGUUAAAGGCCCUGAACCUGAGCGCCUCCCUAGUGGCCCAGAAUCUUGCAUCGCAUAUCUUGCCGAUGAGCUCAAUAAAUCUGAUACAGAUAUUCCCCUUUCAACAUCUACCUCACUAUCAUAAUGAGAGACUGGGGAUUGACCAUAAUGAGAGACUGGGGAUUGACCAUGUAAAGGAACUCCCAAGGGGUCUAAAGUGUUAGAAAUCCCAGUAUCCAUGUCUAGAGACAGAUCCUCCUGACUACAACUUCUGGACCCCAUUUCUUUCGUUUCAUCACACUCAUUGCAUAUUAAUUUGAGUGCCUGAACAACUUCACCCAUGAAUGGUCUGUUUGAUACCUCUGGUUGAACGCACAUUGAAGCAAUCGCAGCUACCUUUGAGAUACCAUCAAAUGGAAGAUCAGGGCCCAAAGUUGGGUCUAUGAUGGAUUCUAAACCUUCUUCACUCGUAAGCACUGGGCGGGCCCAAGAAACCAAAUUCUCUUGACCAGGUGGUUGAGACAUGUCUACUGGUUUUCUACCUGUCAACAGCUCAAGAAGUACAACCCCAUAACUGUAAACAUCGCUCUUCACAAGCAGAUGACCGGUCAUUGCAUACUCUGGAGCGACAUACCUGGUACAUUAAUAAAACCAAACUCUGUUUAUGUCACUAAAUGAUGUCAAAACUGAAUCUUAAGAACAACAAAUAAAAAGGAAACACAGAGUGGGUGAACUGAUGACUGCUGCUGCUGCAUCUAUGUUACAUAUUAGACAAGUCACAAGUCUGAGUGUUCAUUGUAACUGAAAGGAAUGAAGUUGGACAGAAGGUGGGUUCAGAACCAUGUGGCACCAAGAAACUUCACCAAUGGAAAUGAAACAUAUAACACUGGCAGAGGACAACUGAUUCAAAUUGCCUCAAUUUUGUACUAGCAUUCCAAGGUUUGAAAACUUGAAACCACACAAAGUUAUUAAAAGAUAAUGUGAGGGAUAUAACACCAUCAAUCUAACCAUAAAGUUGCCCUAAAAAUGUUCAGAUAAGGUCAUCCAAGGGUUCAUACCAAGUCGACUUAAAGAAAAGGUGCCCAGGGGAAUGAUUUAGCUACAGCAAGUCAAAAGCAGGGAAAUUUACCCAAAGGUUCCCAUUACACGUGUCGAAAUGUGUUUAUUUUCCUCAUCCAAUGCAGUUCGAGCCAAACCAAAAUCAGAGACUUUAGGCGUAAAGUCAUGUUCCAACAAGAUGUUGCUGGACUUGAAGUCCCUGUGUAUGACUCGUGGACUCGAAUCUUCAUGCAGAUAGGCCAGACCACGAGCAGCACCAAGAGCUAUCUUAAGCCGAGCACCCCAAUCAAGAGGAGCAUAUUCCUGGUGAACUCCUGAGAGCAAGCAAAGAAAGCAUAUAAAUAUAGCCAGGAAACAAGGUUGGAACUUGUAUAAACAGAAGAUAAUAUUACCGUGCAGAUGAGAUUCCACACUGCCAUUUGGUAUGAGUUCAUAGAUUAAGCAACGAGUUCGCUCCUCUGUACAUAUACCAAUCAACUUGACCAAGUUUCGGUGAUGAAGGCGACUAAGCAUCUCUAUUUCCGACAAGAACUCACGACCUCCCUGCUGGUCAGCUCGCUUUAGAACUUUUACAGCCACAUGUGUCCCAUCUUCAAGCACGCCACUAUAAACACGACCAAAGCCGCCUUCACCAAGUAUUCUUGUUUCACUGAAGUUAUCUGUUGCUUUCUCUAUAUCACAUGUACUAAAAGAUUUUGUAGAACCAGCAUAUGCUGCAAUGCUAGAACCAUAAGAUAACGAAGCAGAACUUGGCCCACUUCCAAUCAUAGAGGCAGGAAUCCCUACAUUAGACACAGCAAACUUUGAGUACUAAGCUAUUUUUCUGCUUCAAUGGGUCAAUUGUUAUGUGUUCUUGUUACAAUUUUUUGAUGACUCUUAGUUUCUCCAUAUGACCAUGCUAUGUUGUUAUAUGCUCUUUUUUUCAUUUUUUUUAAUUUUUAUUAUAUUUUUUUAGCAGGGGAAGGGUGGGAUUUUAGAAGAAGGGAAGGGGAAGGAGGGGAAUUGAACCCGGAACUUCUGGGGCCUCAAUGAUAUGCUCAUUUAAUGAUUAACAAGUACAAUAAUGUAUUAUCUGCUGCCUAGGAUAACUAGUAAAGACUUAAAAACAUUUUGUUAUGCAAUUGGGUAUUCAGAAUUUCAAGAAUGUUUGUGUGGUACCUAAAGGACUUGGUAUUUGUGUGGUACCUAAAGGAAAAAACCAAUCCUGAUACACUCCAGCUGACCACAAAAACAGCCAACAGGUUCCCUAAGUUUUUAUUUUUCGUGGGACUAGUUAAGUAGACUUCUAAAAUAGCUCAUGAGCUUAUCCAAUGGUUCUAACAGAAGAUGCUUUCUUGAGAUCAUAAGCAUUCAUAUGAGGUCAAUCUUAGAGAUCAAGAUAGUACCUGAUGAUUUUGCAAGGGAAGGCAUAGUAGCCGGUGGAGUAGAGUCUGGAGGGCAGAGCUGCUCUCUGUGUUUUAAAACCAAUACCCAUGCAAUAGCGCAGCAGAAAAUUACAACUAUAGAGGUAGACAAAACUAUAAUUGCUAUCACACUUCGACUUAGCCCACCUCUGUGAUGCUGUCUUCCCACAUCAACCCCAAAUGGCUUUAUGGCCGCUCCAUUGUUGUUGCGACUAGAAUAAGGGUCAGUUUCUAUAGUACCAAUAUCAGAAGAUGCAGAAGGUGGAGAGGGUGGAAGACCUACAGGUUUAGUGCCCUUCAUUUUAAUAUCAAGAUCAAACCACAAAUGUGAAAGAGAAUAUGAUGCAGGCAGCCUGACAUCGUUACCUGGAUAAUGUACAUAAAGCACUUCGUAGUCUCCAAAGAGUGAAGUUUGUAUAAUAACUUCUUGGAGCCAGAAUCUUCGAAAUGUCAGAUAAGCUGUGGUAUUAUCAAAUGUUUCUCCCAGGGGUACUAAGUCAGUGAGGACAAUGGUCUUUUCUGGAUCCUGGCUGGCAGCGUUUGCCCCCAUAAUCCGAACUUGACUUGGCUUCAAAAACACUCCAGCAGCUACUUCUGCUGCGAACUCUGAAACUAAAGGGAAGAAAUUGUACAACGCAACACUUAGGCGGAGUCCAACUUGCAUAGGUAGGACACAAACGCAUGGAGAUCCAGGAGCACCAUUUGUCAAUGGCUCUGAGCACGUCAAUGAUGUGCAAUCUACAAAAUAAAAUUGGUUUACAAAUUUCUAGCACCAACUUUCAUAAAUAGAUUGCUAAACCAGAUGAACAACAGAAGGAAUAAGGGAAAAGAAGUACCUCCAUUAGGUGGUGGAGGUGGUAAUGCUUGCAAAGGUGGCUGGAGAGGCAUCUUUGGCAUCCUUGGCAUAGGUCUUGUGGGAGACAUUUUCGGGGAAUGAAUUGGCACUGGCAGUCCACAAGGAUGAUCAUAGAUAAGCAUUCAAAACUAACAAAUCUUAACGUCAAACUUUGCCAGCGUUCCUUAUACAACAAUGAAAAACAUGAGAUAGCCUUUAACUUACUUUGUUGAGAUGAAGAUGAAGGAUGUGGUGAUGGCGAGGAAGAAUCAUGGCUUUUUGGUGUAGGAAAGGGAAAAUGAGAUGAGGGUGUUGAGGAUCCUGUAGAGCAAAGGUUGUUGGACAUCAGAGGAAAACAAAUAAAAGGAAAUAAGACCCAGGGUUUCAUAGCAAACCAGCAAUUUUAAUACCUGGGUUUAGGGGUGGAGGAGCAUGGAACCUAAAGUCAGUCUUCGGGUCUGAGCUUGAAUUAUCUGGAGGAGCUAAUUUGUGGGCCAACAUUUACAACAAAUUGAGAAGAAAAAAUAGAUGAUAGGUAGGAGUUAAAAAUCAGGACAGGAACAUUGUUUGAGACUUUUGUACCUUCUACAGCCGAAGCAGGAGGAGGAGCCAUAUAUACUGAUGGAGCAGGAGUUCUCUUAUAAUUCUUCCCAUGAUGCCAUUGAAAUGAAGAAGAAGGUCGAUAUGCAGGGGAGUUGGACCCUGAAACUACAGGGGCAUUGCGGGAUGGAAGAGGAGAAGGAGCAUUAUCGGAAUUCCCCAUAUUAUCAUGAACAGAUGGAGCUAAGACAAAGUAAAAAAUCAUUUUCAGGGUUUCAUAGCAAACCAGCAAUUUUAAUACCUAGGUUUAGGGGUGGAGGAGCAUGGAACCUAAAGUCAGUCUUCGGGUCUGAGCUUGAAUUAUCAGGAGGAGCUAAUUUGUGGGCCAACAUUUACAACAAAUUGAGAAGGAAAAAUAGAUGAUAGGUAGGAGUUAAAAAUCAGGACAGGAACAUUGUUUGAGACUUUUAUACCUUCUACAGCCGAAGCAGGAGGAGGAGCCAUAUAUACUGAUGGAGCAGGAGUUCUCUUAUAAUUCUUCCCAUGAUGCCAUUGAAAUGAAGAAGAAGGUUGAGAUGCAGGGGAGUUGGACCCUGAAACUACAGGAGCAUUGCGGGAUGGAAGAGGAGGAGGAGCAUUAUCGGAAUUCCCCAUAUUAUCAUGAACAGAUGGAGCUAAGACAAAGUAAAAAAUCAUUUAUAGAUAUCUCUAGCAUUUCUGGCUACUUAUCAGAAAAUGUCAUUGAGAAAUCAGAAGUUUUAUAUUCACCUUUUGCUGGUGAAGUGCUCACAGGCGACUGCUGGGUGCUUGUUCCAUUUGGUGGUGUGGCAACAGGAGAUGAUGCAGGAGCUGUAUCAGGCUCUGCACAAUAUGAGGGAUGUAUACAAGAUAUCAAUUAGGUAACAGAGCUACUUCAUAAUUGCAAUAUAAUCGUCAAAAUGUAAACCCAGACUAUCAUUAAACAUAUCUCUGUAAUGGAACUUAAGGAAUCCUGUCCUUUAAAAAAAACACAAACACUGAAUAGAAGAAUAAACCCAUGCUAAUGUUUAUAUGUCUCCUCAGUUUUCAGCUACAAGAAAUACAGCUCAAAAUGAGAACUAUUUUGUAAUUAUCAGCAGAUAGAAACUUUCAACCCAAUAUCAAUCCCUGUUACAUGCAGCAGCUGCACAUCUAAGUCAUAAAGACCUACAAGCGGUGUCAUCGUGUAAAAUAUAACUGGAAGCAACUUGUUAGUAGGCUUUAGUUCCUCAUACGCACUUCCUUUUCACUCAGAGAUGGUUGUCUUAUUCCUUUUUUCUUGUUAGGAAUUUGAUACUUUUGUAGGUUAGAACAUAAAUUUUAAUACAAGAAAAUUGUGCACACUCCUUCACAAAACUAGAACAGAAUGAAGGCAUUCCCUCAAAUUUGAAACACAAAACUCACUUUUGAGGAUUUCCUUUUUUCCAUCUUUGAUUUUCUUUUUCAAGUUGAACAAGCUGGUGCACUUUUCUCUUUAAAGGUCCAAAAGUAUUUGUGUGAAUUGCAUAAAUAACAUCUCUGUCAAGUAAUUAAUAAGAGAGUAUAUCCGCCAGCACAACAGGAAGUAAAAAAUAUUUGAAUAUUUUAAUAAUUUUAGUAUGUAUCAACUCAAGUAUCACCUGACGAAGUGGAAGGAGGUUCUUUGGGUAAUGCUGGUGGAAUAGAUAAUGGGUUCCCUGGUGACUUGCCCGGAGACAGUCCAACUGGCACUGCAGCAUUCAGACAAAUAGUGAUCACCAAAUGUUCAUUUCAAAAAGAAUAUUGCAGAAAAAGAUAAGUAGCUAGGAGUACCAGGAAGAAUGGAUGAUGAUAUCCCAGGGGGCAGUGAAUUUUGUGGUGCUCUCUUUGAUGCAUGUGUGUUGGAUGCUACGUUUGACACAGAAAUAGGUGCAGGAUUUAGUAUGAAAUGUUCAACAAUAAAUUAUUUGUGGGAGGGGAAAUAAAUUAUCUACCAGCUACCUGGGGCAGUUGCCAUAAAAGGAGCUUCAGGAGCCCUACUUUGAGCAGGUUUUGGAGGAACGGAUUCCGGUACAAGUGGUAGGCUAGUUGGUGGACUUUGUGGAGAUAUUCUUGAUGGAGAUGCUCGUGGUGCUGCAUGUGUAAAAGAAAAACCAAUAACAACCAGGGAUCCAGUGAUGUUACAGGAUAGGUCUAGCUAACAAGUACCUGAGGCUUCAGGACCUGUUGGCAAUGGAGGGACGGUGUCAUUAGCAAUUACUGGGAUCGGCAUUGAAUCACUUGGCGACAAAACUAGAGUACUUGGUGGAAGAGAUGGUAUAUGAUCUUUCACCUUUUGGGGUGCGGACGCAGAAUUAAGAGGCGGCAAUAAGAGUGGAGGGUCCACAAAUGUCCCUGAAUGGACAUAAAACAUUAAGUAAAUUGAAGUUCAGUAUCAGAGCUCUUUCAAUAUUACUGUAAGUCAUGAUAUUCUACCAUUAGGGCGACCUGCUGGGGUCGGUGGAGCAGCUAUUGCAUCACCACCUGGAGAAAAUACAGGAAAUGUUGAUGGAGAUGGAGGCAAGCUAUACCCUGAAAUAUGAGGUAACGCAACCAGUCAGUCAGUUCAGAAGAAUUUUUUUUAGAAGUACACAUGUGAUGAUAACAUUUACAGCUGCAAAGCUGGAAAAGCUGCACUAAUACUGGUUGACAUUACCAACCAAAUAGCACUCAUUUUAGAUUAUGACAGAGAUAUGCAUGGCAAAAUUUUGGGCUUCUGCUGAAAAAAUAGGGUGCCAGGAGAAUAGGAUGCGUGCAGCCACAGGAAUACUGUAAGAUGUUAGAAUUUGCAAUCUAAGGAUGUUGAGUAAGUUUGAUUGGGAAAUUGUUAUGCAAAGGCAAGGAAACAAGUUACAGACAGCCCGUAGGAUAUAGACAGCUUAAAGUUGAGUCCUCGGUAUCUCAAGGAGGAGAGGAAAGUAGAAGAAGUCAAUGUUUGUUAUCUUUGAAGGGCAACUGAACAUCUGUCAACCUAUACUCAGUAUCAAAGAGAGAAUAUCCUUACCAAAUCACAAAAGAAGAGAGAAGAUGAAUCGUAUUAUAGCCUACAUUAAUGGCUUGCCAGCGAUUCCUGAGAUUUGGUGGAACUACAUAUAUAGGCAACACAAAGAAGUAGGAAACAAAAUCAACCUUAACUGUGAUGCAUUAGGGAAAAAAAAUUCUAAAUUGAGAAGGGAUGACUACAAGAGUCCCAUUUAGAAAAUAAUAUCGCAUUAACCACAGUUUUAGAUAAUGAAAGUAGCGAAACUGAGGCAAGUCCAUUUGUGCCUUUACAAUUUAGGAACCCACAAGCUCCUAACUUUCUGUCUGUCACCGUUACAUCUAUAAUCUAUAAAAUUUUAGAUGCAGAGAAUAGAUUUGUCCUAAUUGACAACUUUUGAUAGCAGUUUCUUAAUCAAUUGCUGCAGGAAUGGAUGAUACGUCCAAAUUCCAAACUUCAAACAACACAUUGCCAAGAAUCAUCACUUCUAUAGCAUCAUAUUCGAAAUUUUAAUCAACCGAAUAAUGUAACUUGACAAAUUAAAUUCUCUCUUCGCAUGAGUAAAGGUGUUUGAGAUUAAUAAAGUUCAGAAAGAGUUACCAGAAGAUCCUUGAAACGCCAAGAAAGCAGCCAAGACAGUGACCUUCAGCACCGAGAACACAACUUGCAGCACCACCACUCCCAUCCCAUAUGAAAUCAACCGCAGAACCAAUUCUCCAAUCCCACCAAAAUGUUAAUAAAAUAUCCAAACAGUAAACAUCAUCUUAAUGAAAUGAUUUGUGUAAAGGCUUCUGAUGACUUAAAGGGAUAACAAAAGAGAGG
rnacentral:lncRNA from 1 species